rnacentral:lncRNA from 1 species
GUUACUGCCACUUGUGAGUAACAAGUCAACUGUUCAGACCGACUGUCCCUAGAGCAAGUGGCAAAGGGUUUGAUGAUUGGUACCCGAAACCCAAGUUCGAAUCCUAGUUGAUUCACAUUUCUUGCUAAGUUUAUUUCUAAAUAAAGUAAACGAAGCGGGUAGCGUGUAACCUAUCUCUCAAAAAAAAAAAAAAAAAAAAAGUCAACUGUUCAUGGCAACAAGAGUGCUGUAAUGUGGACACUCCUGUGUGGUUGGAUACAUUUAAUUUGCUGGUGCAUAUAUAACUCAAAUGUCUUACGUUUCAAAUAAAUACACAAUUUUUUGAUGUCUGAGGUUUCCAUUGGUAAUCUAAACUUGUAUUAUUUCGCAAUUCUCAAAAUGAUAUAUACCUUUAUGUAUUAUUAAUGUUUUGCAAAUUAUAGCACUUUUCAAUUCAUGUUUCAAGCGGUUGGAAAUUGAUAUGUCGGAGAUAUUCUAUUAGAUGCUUAUAUUCACAAAAUACGAAAAGUAAGUUAAAUAGUUAAAAUAUAUGAAAUUUUAAUUAGUUUUUUGUAUAAAUAACACGGAGUACUAAUAUUUUUCUUCGCAGAAAAAUAUAAAUCUGAUUGAAUAUGAUCAUGCAUUAUAUUUUCCGUAUGAUUCAAUGAGAAAACUCAAAAUUCACUUAUAUAUUUUAUGUGGACUACAAAGUUGACUUCUCAAGCCUAAUGAGAAGUGGUUUUUUACUUCUGAAGUUGGACUUUGUUAAUUAAAAAAGCUCCAAAAGAGGAUUAUAAUGAUGUAAUCUAAAAGGACAAAACUGGGUUAAGUUCAAUCAAAUAGGAAGAUUACAGAUUAAUCAGAGAAUGAAAGUACAGGGCUAACUCUACGUGAUCCGUAGAUGAUCGCUACGGUUGUAAUGUGUUGGGUUGAUCAGUCUCGGGUCUAAGCCGAACCAAACUCAACCUAGCAAUUAAAAGGGUUCGCUCAUGGACUCUCACAGUUGUGAAAUAAUAAGUCAUUAAAACAAUUUUCUUCUGUGUUUUUUUCACUGACCGGAAAAAUGUGGUCAAAUUCGCUCACUUGUGCUCAACAUGUUUCCAAAAAUACCUCGAGAUAGUGUUAUAUAUAUUGACAGUAAUUCAACUGCUGUCCCUGUGCUGCAUAAUUAUUACAUUUUUUUAAAAAUUUAAGACUUUACUUAAACAUAAUAAGAAACUUUAAAUUCAAUUGACUUGUCAGAAUAUAAGAAAGUAUACACAAACUUUUGGCACAUGCAAUGAAUUUGUGCGGAGCAUAUAUGUUUUAUUAUUAUUAUUAUUAUUAUUAUUUAUUUGAGAGAGAAUGAUAGUAAAUCAUUUAUUUUAUUUAUUUUUAAAAAUUAAUUCAGCUAGAUAUAUAAAAUAAUUAGUUUCUGAAUUUGAGACCGCGGAUACCUCCAUUAAAUUCGUAAAAAAUUGUACUAGAUAUAAUCGGUAUGUAAAAGCAUGGAUUUUAGGAAAGUACUUACACAGUUUUUUCUAUUUAGGUAUCAAAGAUGCGUAUAAAAAUUCCCAAGUUCAUAAGUUGUUUUGAAAUUGACUCCUCAACUAAUUUCUCUUUUAAUUAUUAUAUUUUCCAACUUUUAAUUAUUUUAAUUUAAAAUACUAAAAAACUUUACCUCUUAUUUAGUUGUCAACAAAAGUAUCAUUGAUUCUAAUAAAAGUUAAUUUACUUAAUAAAUAUAAUAUAAAUUUAAAAAAUUAUAAAACAUAUUUCAAAAUAUUUUAUAGUCGAGGGGCUGUUGUACAUUUUUCACUAGGAAAUCUCAUUGUACAUUUCAUUUAUUUUUCUUUUGUUAUAAAUAUAUUUUUAACCACGGAGAGAGAGAGGGAAAAAAAAAAAGAAAAAGAAAAAAAGGCAACGGUAGAAAGGAAACGGUAAAAGGCACUGUUUUUUAUCUUACUCCCCUCUCCACGCUCCACAUACCCCACACCAUUGGCGACCCCCAAAGCGCUCUCUCUCUCUCUCGAGAUCUCGAUCGAAGGCCCAACCCUAACGCCAUUAAGUCGUUUUCGUCCAAUUAAGGAAGGUCUCUGUCGCUCUCUCUCUCUCUCAUAAUUUUUUUUCUUUUUUUUCUGAUUUGUAGAUCUUGUGUUGCAGUGUUCGUUACGCUUCCACCAGGUGGGCCAGUUUUUGGUGGCAUUUCCCUACCCCCAAUUCCACUUUUUCUGGGUUAAUUUAUAUAUAUUUUCCCCUUUUCGGUUGAUCUAAUUGUUCGCUUCAAUCUCACUUAAAAGUCAUCUCUUUUUCUUAAUUUUUGACUCGUACGAUCUCCUCUUUUCUGGGUUCUUAAACUUUCUAUCGUUUUGCCUAACCCAUAAUGGGUAAAAAUCGCAUCUUGGGUUUAAUUUCGCACAUGCAAUGUUGCGUUUUUUGUUUUUCUUUUGUAAGGACGAAAAUAUGCACAUCAAGUGUAUGGUAUUUUUCUGCAGAAAAAAAAAAUGCACUAUUUUUCUGGGUUCUUAAGCUUUUUCUAGUUUUCUCUAACACAUAUGGGAAAAUUCACAUCUUGAAUCUAAUUAUUUCGCACAGUCCAUUUUAAAGUGAAAAAUGUGCACACCAAGAAUUUGGUUUUUGGUUAUUUGAAUAAAGGGGGGAAUAGUUUGGUAUUCCUAUUUCUGGGUAUUUUAGAAUCAGUUACAUAUACGACGAUUGGAUCCAUUAUUCAUGCUUGUAGAAAUUCUACAUCAUGGUUCUCCUUGCGAUAGUGAUUGUUUGUUUGUUUUUUUCUUCCAUAUUUUUCAUUAAAAAGUUUGAUAUUUUUCCCUUUUCUAGUUUCUUUUCUUGUCCUUAUCAGGUUAUUAAAUGGAGAGGAUGUUUAGGACCCACAAUUUACAUGACCUACCGAGUCAUCAUUAAUAUGAAAGGGGAGAAUUUCUAUUCCCAUGAUUUUUGUAUGUCUAAAAAGGAAAAUGGUGAAGCUUUUUAAUAAUUAUUUCAUGUAAAUAUUUACCUUUUUCAUUUUUAACCCCGAAUUGGCUCUUCUAUUCCCAUGAAUUUAAACUGGGUUACUAUUCAAUGAUUAAUCUACUAGUUGACUACACGUCUACACAUUAGAAUAUACCUUCUUAGUCGGUGUUAUUAUAGAGACCACGUUCCUAGUUUCCAUUGACAGAGGUGUUGGAAUCAUACCCAGCUUAUUUUUCAAUUAAAAAACAACUUUUUUCAUUGUUCUGAGUACAGUUGUAUCAAUUCCUUUUAACCAUUUGUUCAAUUAGGUAGGGUGUAGUUGUAAGAUGGUUUAUAAUAAUACGAUCUUUAAUUACUGUUCAUAAGGAAUUGUUGGCUCAUUGAGUUAUUGAAAACGUGUUGAUUAUUCCACCUUGGGUUUUUAACCCUGCGAUUCUGCGCGGUUAUUUCGUGAAGAAAACGGGGUAGAUCUUAAGUGGGUUUUGGGUAUUUAAGGAGCGGGGGCUGACCCUUUCUUGGGCAGCGAAAAAAGAAGGUUCCUUUCCUUCUCUUCCCCUCUUAUUCUAUUAGUAAAGAUCUCUUCAUUCAGUUCCUCUCUUGAGUCUUUCGGAGCAUUUUUUGAGGUAAUUCUCUAGCUGAUCUGUGCAAAUUUUUGUAAUGAGAGCUGAAAAUUUGGCUCAAUUUGUUUUUGUUUUGGUUUGCAAGGUAUUCUAAUUGCCAUUCUCUUUGGUUGGGUCAUUCCAAAAUGUGAUCUUUUCCUUGCUUCUUUCUUGUGCCAAUAAGGAUCCAUUUUUUUAAGGGCUUUCGGUUUGAGAUAUCGUUAAAUUUUCCAUUUUUCUCUUCUUGUUGCCCCUUUCUCUUAGAUCUAUGUUGUUUUUCUGUUUUCAAUUUUAGCAAUGCAGGUAUAGAUAGAUCUGUAGUUUUUAUUAAUAUAUCUUUUGUCAUUUUAAAGAUUUGUAACUGUUUCUCGUUGGAUCAAUUAAUCCUUCUCCUCCUUUUGAGAUUGAUAUGCAAGUUAAUCAAACGUACCCCGGAAAUUUCUAAAUUUAGUUUCCUAUUCAGAUCUACUCAUUUGAUUGCAAUUUUUUGCAUUUUUUUUUUUGCAUUAAUUUGCAGAUCUCUGCAUAUUACUUUCUCUUUGCAUUUUGGCUGCUCAUUUCUUUUAGUUUCUCAGUCUUCUUGGUCAAUUGGCUCAUCUUGUUUAUUUUCUGAAGGUGGGGAAUUCAAUUUGCUAGAUCCUCUUUUGAUGCAAAAGUGUGCGACGCAUCUUUUGAUUUGGAAGGAUGCUGAUCCCACUUUUUAUUUAUUUAGUAUUAAGAGAGCAGUAUAUAAAAUUUUCUUCUCCUUUAUUAUCUAGACAAUGAUCUAUGGAUUCCAGUAUUUGGUGUUGAAACAAAAUGUUUCCUUCCAAAUCUUUUUUGGUAUAUAUUUCUUUGAACCCUGAAUAUAUGCCUAUUUUGUUCGUCUUUAGUGAGAAAUGAAUUUUUACAUUGGAAGAAAUAAAAAUUAAUAAUUGAUAUAUUGCUGUAUGAGAUUUAGUUUUCUGAAUUAGUACGAAUGCUCUUUAGUUGCAUAGGUGAUGUUUAUUUUCUUAAAAUCUUCACUUAAUUUACUUGCAGGCAGUAGAAUAAGCCAAAAACAUGGUGAAGAUCUGCUGCAUCGGAGCAGGCUAUGUCGGCGGUCCGACAAUGGCCGUGAUAGCCCUUAAGUGCCCAUCAAUCGAGGUCGUGGUUGUUGACAUCUCCACUACCCGCAUUGCAGCCUGGAACAGCGACCAGCUCCCGAUCUACGAGCCAGGCCUCGAGGAUGUGGUCAAGGAGUGCCGUGGCCGCAACCUCUUCUUCAGCGUUGACGUUGAGAAGCACGUCUCUGAGGCCGACAUCAUCUUUGUCUCUGUCAACACCCCGACCAAAACCCGUGGUCUUGGUGCCGGCAAGGCUGCUGAUCUCACCUACUGGGAGAGCGCCGCCCGCAUGAUCGCCAAUGUCUCAAAAUCCGACAAGAUUGUUGUUGAGAAAUCCACUGUCCCUGUCAAGACCGCUGAGGCGAUCGAGAAGAUCCUGACACAUAACAGCAAGGGCAUCAACUAUCAGAUCCUCUCCAACCCUGAAUUCCUUGCAGAGGGCACGGCGAUCAGUGACCUGUUCAACCCCGACCGCGUGCUAAUUGGUGGGCGUGAGACUCCAGAGGGAAGGAAGGCAGUUCAGGCACUGAAGGAAGUUUAUGCCCAUUGGGUACCUGAGGAUAGGAUCCUAACCACUAACUUGUGGUCGGCUGAGCUAUCCAAGCUUGCAGCUAACGCAUUCCUGGCUCAGCGCAUCUCGUCUGUCAAUGCGAUCUCUGCGCUUUGCGAGGCAACCGGUGCUAACGUGUCUGAGGUGGCCUACUCUGUCGGGAAGGACUCCCGUAUUGGGCCCAAGUUCUUGAACGCCAGUGUCGGGUUCGGUGGGUCGUGCUUCCAAAAGGAUAUCCUUAACCUGGUCUACAUCUGCGAGUGCAAUGGUCUUCCUGAAGUGGCUAACUAUUGGAAGCAGGUUAUAAAGAUUAACGACUACCAAAAAAGCCGGUUUGUGAACCGAGUUGUCUCCUCCAUGUUCAAUACUGUUGCGGGUAAGAAGAUUGCGGUGCUCGGCUUUGCUUUUAAGAAGGAUACUGGGGACACUAGGGAGACUCCCGCCAUUGAUGUGUGCAAGGGUUUGUUAGGUGAUAAGGCCACAAUCAGUAUAUAUGAUCCUCAAGUUACUGAAGAUCAGAUCCAACGUGAUCUCGCCAUGAACAAGUUCGAUUGGGACCAUCCAAUUCACCUCCAGCCAAUGAGCCCAACUGCGGUUAAGCAGGUUAGUGUGACUUGGGAUGCAUAUGAGGCCACUAAGGGAGCUCAUGGUGUAUGCAUUCUUACUGAGUGGGAUGAGUUCAAGAACUUGGACUACGAGAAGAUCUAUGAGAACAUGCAGAAGCCUGCUUUCCUGUUUGAUGGGCGCAACGUGGUGGAUCCGGUGAAGCUUAGGGCGAUCGGAUUCAUUGUUUACGCCAUUGGAAAGCCGCUCGACGCAUGGCUCAAGGACCUGCCUGCGGUUGCUUAAUAAUAGAGGUUGCGAUCAAGCAGAAUGGUGAUGGAAGAGCUUUUGUUGGUGUUAGAUAAAACAACAAUUCUUUAUAGCUAUUAUUUCCUCAUAGUGAUUGGUUCUUUCCGUGGUCGUGUGUCGGAUUAGGGGUUGAAACUAGUCAGUUUUAUUGUUACCGAGCAUUUUAGUAUCAUAACUGCUAUGCUCUGUUUUUCUCUUUAAGAUCUGGAUACUGAAAUUCUAUUUUGCUAGUUGUCACAUUUGUUCUUACUCCUACUUGAUUACAUCAGUUCUGUCAAAUUUAUGAUAUUUGGAAUAAAUUUUUCCUCUUCAAUUUUUUAAUUUUUACCAACUCUCCGAUAUUCCGCUAAAUUGCUCUAUCUUUCUACCCAGACACUUGAUGUGUUGGAAAUAUUUGUCCCAUUCCCAGCAGAAAUAAUUUCUGGAGUUAUUUGGAUUUAUCAGGAACUGUUUGGGACGAUGUUUUAUAGUUAUACCUUGCAGUAAUUUAAAUCUUCAAUCCAGUUUUUAUGUCACAGUUAAGUAGUAGUAGUAGUAGUAUUACUGAAAUUCGUUCCAGCUGGUAGUUGUAUUAAUUUUCUGCUUCUAAUUCUAUCAGCCAAUCUUUACACUUACAGCAUCUGAACUUCACCCAUGAAUACUAUUACCAAGCAUCGCGUGUGGAGAUCAAGCGUGUUUCUCAAAUUUCAUUGGCUCUUUAAAAAGAGUAUUUCACAAACUGUCACAUUAACGGAUGCUUGGUAAUUACAUGUUGAAGUGAAUACUCUCCUUGCUUUUGCAAUGAAAUUAGCAUAGAAGCAACACUUGGUGGUUGGGCUUCGUCUUCAAUGGUAAGAGAAGGGGACAGGCCCAUGUUUGGGCCCAUCUCGGCCCGUAAUGAGUCUGGUACAAUUGGGCUUGGACUAUAAAAAGAUUAGGCCCAAUGAGAGCCCAAUUUUGUACAAUGCCUACUACUUAGACUGAUAGAGUAAUUUUGCGCGUACUCUUCAAAAAGUAGAUGAGAGUAAAAUAUGGACUAAAAUAGUUAGGUUUUGUGAACGAUGUUUUGUCUGCGAAAAUUUGUUAUCGUCAAUCUGUCGUGUACUAUUGGUAUUGAUAUAAGUAUUAUCUUUGAUCCAGGAGUAGAUGAAGUAAAAGAUGAACUUCAUCUGCUUUUUUUAAGGUUUAUUAUUAUCCAUUAGUUGGGAUUAGUUUAUGCAACACGUAGAACGUUCUUAUACGUCCGAUCAUCAAUCAACGGGCAGGAUUUCGCCAUCGUCGUGUUCUUCGCUCUUGAGGAAAACGACUAGGAGUCCUAACGGUCGAAAAAUAGCAAUCGCCAACUCCAUUCAAUUGAAUAGUAAUAAAUUAGGGUUUGAGACCUCGCUCCAUUUGCUCUUUUAUUAGUAUUUUCCAAACUCGUACUUUCGAGAAACCCUACAAGCGUGAUCGCUGCGCGGAGCAAGGCAUAACCUUUUCUAUUGCAUUCUCCCUCCUCGAUCCAUUCCAGUACGAUUCUAGUCGAUCUAUUUGAUUGUUUCUUCCGUGUUUUGAUCUCUUAUGUGGCUUCUAGGGUUUGUAGAUCGUAAUAUUUUGUUUAAUCUGUUAAAAAAUAGAUCUUUUUUCAGUUAUUUUUGAAAGGUUUGUGAUCGGUUGCUCUAUAUAUUUCGAGAUUAGUUACUGUUCCAGUCUCAUCCAUUACUCUCAAUUUUAAGUGAUUUAUCUCUCGAUUUGUAGAUCGACUUAAGCAAUCUACAAUGUUGUUUUGCCUUUUUUUAAAUUAGGUUUUCUUUUUUCCUUUAUUUUUUUUAGUGGAAAGGUUGGUUUUUUGUUUUGUUCUGUUAGUAGUGUUUCUGCAGCGACUUCUACUCCAAGAAUCAUUUUUGUUGCAAAUUGCAACUUGUUAACUACAACUGUGACGUUUUAGUACCUAUCUCUAGAUUUAUUUUGCAUUCAAUUACUCUAUUUUGGAGUUCUCCGUUCUUUUCCCUUUUUUCCCUGCGUUUUUAUUGUUAGUUUAACUCAAAAGAAAGUGAUUUGGACUAUCUUUUCAAGUGAUCUUGGUUCGUAAUGGCCUCGAUAUAGCAUUCAAUCCGUCUUAUCCAUUAUGCUUGAUGUUGUGUUAUUUAUUUGCUUAUAGUUUUAUGGAUUUAACUCCAAUAUUUAUUGUUUACUUUUUAAGUCAUAAGCAGUUGAGCUUUUGAUUGUGGACAUUUGUUUUGGUUACACUUAGUUAUUCUUUUCACCCUCUGACUUGUUCUAUUGAGCAUUAUUCUUAUUAACUUCUAUUUUGCUCUUUCUGGCUUUGGAGUGGAUUUGAUUUCUCCAAUUGUUUGAUUACAUAUAUGCAGAUUUACCUGCAACAUUACUUUGGUGUUGCUUCCCCUAAGAUUUCAUUAAAUAUCUGUAUCUGUUUCUUGGAUAGUCUUAUGUUCAAUUAAUGCCUUGAUUUCUAUCUCUUGUUUAUCUUGCUACCUGAUAGGACUCUAGGGACCCUGUUUUUCUUGCUUGCUUUUAUGGUAUGUUCAGGCGUUCCCUUCCAGUAUUCUUUUCCUUUUUUUCGUUCAUGCAUUCAUUUAUUUCUGCAUCUUCUGAAAUUUAUAAAUUUUUUUAUGCAAAUCUUUCUUCAUGUGCAGCAACUCUUUCACCAAGUUCAUUUUUGUUUACUAGAAGCAUAUGAGUAUUAUUGGCAUGGUUUUCCUUCUUGUUUCCCAUUCACUGUAUUAAUCUCUUAUUUCUCAAUCUUCCGCUUGUCAUUUUCAUUUGAAAUAUGUCUGUCCUGUUCAAAGUUCAAAACAUUGUGUUCAUUUAGAUAUAUAAGUUUUAUUGUAUAAUGCUGCCAUACAUCAUUCUGAUCAAAACUCUUUGUUUGUGUAGGAUAAAUUGUUUAUAUCAUCAUGUCAAAUGCAAACAUAAUGAGAACACCUAAUGACGAGGACUCCAAACAACGAUCAGUCGAUUGUAGAUUUUCUGGUACAAACCAAUUUGAUUCUGAUUCGGAACUCGAUCUUGACCGUAAGCCUCCAAGAGCUUUCUCGGCCCCUCCGAUCAGCAAGGCAAAUUGCAGUAAAAACUCCCAACAUAGCCACGAAGAAAAUGAAGAGAAAGGAACUUCUACCUUCUCAUUCUUUUUAGGCUUUUCAGCAGAUAGAAACAGAUACAGAAAUGACUUUAAUGGCUCAGAGAGUAUUGAAAACCAGUCUGCGCAAGAGCUUGAAAAUUAUGCUGCAUGUAAAUCUGAGGAGACCACAAAGAAGGUAAAUGGAUGUUUGAGGAUUGCGGAAGAAAUUAGAGAAAGUGCUUCACGGACUCUUCUCAUGUUGCAUCAGCAGGGCCAGCAGAUUACUCAGACUCAUAAAUCUGCUGUAGAUAUUGAGAAUGACCUUAGCAGGGUAUGUGUGCCUAUUUAUUUUCUUCUCUUUACAUUUAUUUUGUCAUUUUCUUUUUCUGUAACUCAUCUUUUUGAAAAUAAUGCUACCUACUACCAACGAAGGAAAAUCAUUUGAAAAAAAUGACAGGAGAAAAAUCAAGGAAAUUGUUUGUAUAAAUCAAUGAUGAUGUAGGGCACUGAUUUAAUCAGUUCAUGCGCUUCUUCAGGGUGAAAAGCUUUUGGCGAGUCUUGGAGGAAUUUUCUCUAGGACAUGGAAGCCAACAAAAGCUAGCCCGAUGAAGGGGCCUCUUCUAACAGGAGGUAAAGUACAACUAUCUUAUUAGACACUAAUUCUCCUUUUUAAUGCUUUUUCCUUAGCUGAUGUGAUCAAUAUACCACCAGAUGAUUCUUUUGAACGAGAAGGUAAUCAUAUGGAGCAAAGACGGAGAUUGGGAAUAUCUGGUUCUUCACUUCAAUCUAGCCCUCAAAAUACAGUUCAUGGGCCUACAUCUGCACUUGAAAUAACUGAGGUAAAAUACAAUAGUACAAAGCUGGAAGAACUAUGGCCAGCUGAAGCUAUAACUGCUUAUUGCUUAUAUUCUGAUUAUUUUACCAGAUUGAAAAGGCAAAGCAAGAUACUGCUCUUUCUGAUCUGAGUAACUUACUGGGAGAGCUGAAGGAGAUGGCCGUUGACAUGGGUGCAGAGCUAGAUAGGUUUGUAUCUAAUCUCUUCUUUAUUAUGAGCAUAUAUCCUUCUUCAUGAAAAAAAAAAAAAAAAAGAAAAAGAAAAAAAAAGAAAACCGUUCUGGCACAGCAUAAAAUUAGCUGAGAAAAUUGCAGGUAAAAUAGGAGGGCAUUAAAAAGAUGUCUUGUCAGUGUGCGCUUACACUGCUUAGCCUGGCAUGUUGCAGCGAUAUUUUCUUAAACUGAGUUAAUCUCAUGUGUUUGCAUAGCAAAAUGUGCUUGUCCUUUUUUUUUUUCACAUUGUUUACGGCGUUAGUUGGGUAAAUUUACGAUCGUUGGAUGCCUCGCGAAGUUAGGGACACAUUUGUUACCAAAACAACAAAUAGAUCUGCAAAAUAAAUGAAAAAUACCAAAUGAUAGACGACCAAAUUUUGUUUGCAUUUUCAAUUUCGCAAUGCCAAAUAUACUCCUGACCCAAAUAGUAAGAUAGAGUGACUACUACUCAAAUCGAAUUAAAUAAAACUAAAACAAUAUCAGGGAAAACUUAAUAGCAACUUUUGUUUGGUGAUACAGGCAAACCGCAGCUCUCGGCAAUAUGGAGGAUGACAUUGAAGUACUUAAUUCGAGGGUAAAAGGAGCAAAUAUUCGAGGGCGACGCCUCCUUGGAAAGUAGUCUAGGUCCCAAAGAUCUACACAUGUUUUUCCUCAUCUACUGAGGCAUUUCUCGGUUUUUCUUUUCUUUUAUGUGGCGAAGGCAUAAUUCUGAUAUCUAGCAAUAAACAUUUCAAGGCUAUUCUUAAUUGAAUUUUGUGAUUAAUAUGUUUUUUUACAUCAUACAAUUUUUUUGCAGUUACAAAUUUGUUCAUGCUUAGAUUUCUGUUCAAACUUCCAAAUUAUGCAGUUAGUUUCCAAGUAUUUCUUAGAGCAGAACCAUAAUAAGUAUAAUAUAUAUGACUGGAGAAUCUUAAGUUUUAUUAAGAGGAGACAGAUCGCUUGAAAUCAAUGACCCUUUAGUCAUAUCCUCUUCGUUUAAUCUGGAUUUACCAAACUCAAGUUGAGUAACGUAAUUAUCACUUGUUCUCACCACAAAAUAAAAUAAAAUGCAUGCUCCUCACCACCUUCUACUCACAUUAUUAGCAAGAAACGUAUAAGAUCGUUUUUAAACCAUAGCCCAUUUUAAAAUAAAGACCCGAACUUUAAAAACUCUAAUUUUAUAACAUUAUCUUUUAGAGUGUUGGUGAAAAAAAAUUCUAAAUUUCUGAAGAUUUAGAUUCGUAUGGGUAAGUGCUAACCCAUCCCGGUCCCGGGAAGAAAAGCCCUUUACCUUUCCUACACCCUAAAUUUGACCACACUUCUCUCUCUCUCUCUCUCUCUCUCUCUCUGUACUUUUCACUCUCCCCUCUCCAUUGCACCCCAAUCAAUCCCAAAAUGUCCUCUCCUCGCCCCCAUCACCAUCCCCACCACCACCACCACUGCAACUCCCACCACUACUAUUCUCCUUCUUGCUGCUGCUGCUCCUCCUCCUCCUACUACUCUUCUGCUGCUUCGUGCUGCUGCGGCUGCUGCAACUCCUCUUCUCCUCCACCAUCACUACCGCCUCCUCCCUCCAACGCCACCGCCGCCGCAGAUCCCCUUCUCCAUGCCCUAGCCGACCACCUCCUCCUAAUCCUCCAAUCCCCCAAACCCUCUUCCCCUCCUCCCCCUCCUCUCUACUCCUAUCCCCAUCUCAAACCCUACCCAUCUCCCCAAACCCAUCAACCCCCACCUCACGAUCACCACCAUCAGCAGCAGCUCCUCCACUCCCUCCACCGCCGCAUCUCCGCCCUCGAAUCCUCUCUCCCCAGCCUCUCCCCUCCUCCCCAUCCCCCUCCCCUUCACGCCCAUUCCAAGCGAUCGCCGUCGCCAAAGAAGCACCUUUUCUCUCCUCCGCCGCCGCCUCCGCCGCAAACGCUCCAGGAUUUGGCGGCGCGGACCAUCCAAACCCACUUCCGCCUCUUCCUCGUGCGGCGAUCCCAAACCCUCCGCCACCUCAAACGCCUCGCCUCCAUCAAAUCCCAUGUCGCCGCCCUCAGAUCCUCCCUCUCCGACAAGACCCACCUCCACCCGGGAGCCCUCUCCGAAUCCGCCAUGGCUCUCCUCCUCGAGCUCGACGCCAUACAGGUAAGCUCGACAAAGCCUACAUUUCUAUUUGGGUGGCUUUUUUUUUUCUUUUUUUCCUUAUCCUGUGGGAUUGCUCAACUGGGGUUUUUUUUAAUUACAGGGCGGAGAUCCGAUGCUUCGUGAAGGGAAGAGAUCGAUAAGCCGGGAACUUACCCGCAUGUUGGACUUCGUCGACAAGGUGUUGGUGAAGGAGAAGGAGCUCAUGGAGAUCCCAGAGAACGCCUACAGAGUGAUCCCACCCACAAGGACGGGGAAAAAGGUGAGCUUUCUCGAGAACGAGAAGGGGAAGAGAUCUCCGGUUUCUAGUGCUUCCCAUGAACCAUUUUCGGAAAAAAGAGAUCUUUUACAGAGAUUGAGGAGAGAUCCUGGAGAGAAUGGGAUUCAUGGAUCUCAUCAUCAGCUCAAUGGUGAAGAAGAAGAAGAAGAAGAAGAGGAAGAAGAAGAAGAAGAAGAAGAAGAGAAGAGCUCAGAGAGCAAUUCAGAGAGCCCGAAAGCGAAGUUGGGGCUCUCCGCGCCAUUGCCGGUGCAAAUGGAGCCCAGGAGAUUGACUGCUUCGAGGUGACGGUGCUGAUUUUAGUGCCCAAAUUUGAUCUAUAUCGAGCAAUGAGCAAAGAAUUUUAAUUUUUCCUACGAAUCUUGUUUAGCGGUGAACUGUAUUUUUAAGUAGAAAAUCCUUUUGCUGCUGCUGCUGCUGCUGCUGCUUCUGCUGCUGCUGCUUCUGCUAUCAUUUUUUGUGCUUGCCUGUGUUUGCUAAGUAAGUGCUUUUGAGUGCGCAAGACUGCUGUUCCAUUAUUUAUGAAAGAUCUGCUGUCUUUGUUUUUUGAUCGAGUUAUUCUGCAUUUGAGGAAUUAAUAGCCAUAGGUGCUGUUAUGUUGGUCUUGCUCAUUCUUCUUUUUAAAUUAUCUCCAGUGUCCUAGAUGUGUAUGACACUUACUCCUUUGUGGGGGUAAUCACUGUAUGAUCCAUAGGAAGAGUAUCUUAAAUUUAGUAUGAUUUCAUGAUGUGGAUUGUUUCCUGAUCAUGUAGGCGACCGGGUACACUAUAAUCAAUCUACAGUUCUAGUUCGAUUGUUGUACGUCACUGCUGAGGGCCAAAUAGAUGAAAAUAAAGGACAAGGAAAAGAAAAUGAAGACUAGUUGCUAGUGCUAACCCUACUGUUCCAUGAAAAUGUGAGCUCAUGCUUCUUUCCCCCAAACUCAUUUAUUUUGUUAUUGGAUCUCAAAGGGAACAUAAGCCAUAUUGGAUUUUGUCCCGCUUAGAACCAGUUAUCAGGUGCAGUAGCUAUGUGUUGCACACCUGAUAGGCCACUUGUAAGUAGGAAACAUCUCAGAGUUUUCCAGGAUGGUGGUAGGCACAUGUCUUCACCAAAGAGACCUCUCCUCAGUUUGUACUGAUCAGAUAUACUACGGAUUAAUUGUUGGGUAGAUACUAUGAAAUUCUGAAAAAUUUUCAAGAGUCGAGAAGAUGUAUAUAAUUUCUCUAUGCAUAUCUUACGAAGUAGCUACAGGCAUACAUAAAGCAUUCAGGCAUACAUAAAGCAUUUUAACUAUCACACAUGGUUCGAUAGAGCUCCAAAAAUCUAGAUCAAAACCAUAACAGUGGACGAUAAAACCAAAUAAUGGAUAAAGAAACAGACUUGACAUCCAAUUGAGUACAUUUCAUCUCUGGCGCGUCAUCUCUAGGGCAUGUAUAAGAACUCAAUCAGAAGCACUAGAUGAGCAUUACAAUUACUAGACAAUGGAUAUAACUCAAUGUACAAUAUAAGAUGAUAACACGGAAAAAUUUACAUACAUCUCAGAGCCUCGAGCAAACUGCAAUAGCAAAGCGGAGAUUCAGAAGGAUAAUUGACCUGAAUAAGCAGCUUGCACGUGUAGAACGAGCUCUCAUCUUCACUUCAUAGUGACGACAAAUCCUCUUUAAAUCAUGUUUUUUAAUGAACCUACACUGCUGUACUAAUAGACCAUCUACGAUUCCUCACUCUUCACGGGCAUCCACGAAGCACUCUGCCUGGAGUCCCGCCUCCAACGUGUCACAAACCCAAGAACGUAACCCAGUAAGACCGCACCAAGUAUAAGGCUUGCGCCUUUCACAUACCACGGGAAUAUAGUCUUAACGACCACCUUCUGACCACUGUCGCCACCGCCGCCACUCGUAAUAUUAAUAUUCAAGACUUGACCAGAAAAGAUCUCCACCAUAUCAUGCAUUUGCCCAUCAUGGUUCCCAAUAUAUGUAAGCGUUAGCUUCUCCCUCGUGGCAACAAGCCUCGUGUACCCAAACUCUCCCCCACGGUACAUUGACCUCUCCGGCUGGGGGAAAAUUGGCACAUCUGGGUGGUCAGAUCUUGGCUCCCAUAUCGGCUGCCAGUCCUGACCGGCCAUUCCGAUCACCACAUGGACUGGCGCACCCCCAGCUGUAAAGCUUGAGUUUGUGUGAACACAGGUGAAUUUCUUCACGGGGCAGAACCUCUCGUACCUAUGGACAUGGCCCCACAAAGCCAGGGUUACAUUGUUAUCCACUAAUAAGGGUUCCAAACUCUCAAGCAUUUUCUCUCUCAGUGGAGCAUCCCUCACUUCAUUACUUGUUGUGUACAUUGGUCGGUGGCCUUGAACGACAAUAAAAGGUGUCUUGUUUCUAUCUACACUCUCGAGAUCAGAUUUGAUGAAGUUAUACUGAUCGCUUCCCUGGAGGAAAUUGGUCUCUGUCGAUAUGUAAAGGAAAUGAACAACACCAAAAUCAAAUGAAUAAUAGAGGUUCUGCGUGUGCGGGGAUCCUGUUCCUGUGGGGAAAGAAGAGUUCCCAGGCAUUUGGAAUCUGACACUAUAAGGUACCCCACAUUCACCUCCACCAUCCUUUCCAUAAACACCAUAUAAAGACCACCAAGGCCUCCAAGGCUGUGCCGGCCAGUCAUACUCGUGGUUUCCGAUGCAGACAUGGUACGGUACGGCAGAAGCAAUGGGCUCGAUCUGGUUAAAGAACUCGUCCCAUAUCCACGCAUAUCCCCUGGCAUAGCUGAUGUCGCCUAUGUGGGAAAUGAAGGCAGGUUUAUCUCCUAAGGCUUCAAUGUCGCGGAGGAUCCACUUCACAGUUGACUUGCUCUCAUCUUGGGUGCGGUAGAAGGUUGAGUACGGGACAUAAGUACCCAUGUCCCCAAAUAGAAAGGCGAUGGUCUCGUUUGAAUUAUUGUCACGUGAUAUAAAGCUGCGGAUUGCGCUCCAGCCUCCCGAAUCACUACCAACCUGGUGAUACAGAUUAUAUAAUAUAAAUAGAAAUGAUCAUAGGCAAAUCACAAAUAACUCGGCAGAAACAGGACGGUGAGCUACUAUAUUCAACGAACGAACAUUACUUAUAAUGAGAUGAGCAAUAAAGAGAGUCAGUCAAAAAUCACCAUGAUGAGCAAUCAUCUCAUACUAGAGAUAUAUUGACAAAUGAAGCUGAAACACAAUCAAAAUAUUCACUAGUGUGAUGUUUACUCAUGAAUAAUUCUUGAUAUUAUUGUCAUAUGACUCGCCAUCUUUUUUUUUCCUUGCUAUGCAUAUAGGUGCUAAAGCAAAUCAAAACCUGGUGGAACCAAAUUUGCUAUUUUUUGUUAUUCUUGUAUAUCUUAUUUUGCACGAGUACAUACAUGCUCAUAUAUAUAAGCAUAUAAUGAUCAUAGAUUCAUAUAGACAAUCUACAGAAAGACAGAGUGACAGACUAUGAUACAUCAUACAUGGUAUGCAUUUGGAAAAACAACAAGCAAAGUACUCAACUAAGCAAUCACAUACAUACUAAUGCUUGUAUAGUUUAAGCAGAACGUAGAAGAUGUAAAGAUUAAGAACAGCAAAUUUCAAGCAAUAAAAGUCAUCGGAUAGAUAGGAAAGCAUCUACAUAUAAAGCAGAAGCAGAUGAAAUGUAAAUACAAGAAACCGAUUAAAGUAAGACAUGAACUAGCUAUAAAUAUAUAUUCGCUAGAACUACCUUUCAAAACUAAGAGGCAUACUAAGCAAAAACAUGGUUAUCUGCAGAAACCUAAUAACCAUUUGUAGAAAAGGAUAUGUGGAUUAAGGAAAUAAAAGCUAACAUAUAUGCCAAAUUAUUCAGUCCGAAGUCCCUAUAAACUGACUACUACUUUCCUCUGUGAGAAGAAAGCAGAUAGAGUUAUUCUGCGAAAAUACGCUGGAGUUCCCACUAGAACUCAGACAUGACAUGACACAACCAAUUAAUCCAAAGGAACCUAUGAUUAGAAACAUCUGCAAAUGCCAUAGCUAAUGCCAAAUUUUGAUCUUUAGUCAUCUGCAAGCAAUUCCAUACCCUUAAAAAGGGGUAUUUCCAAUUCCAAUAGCCAAAUUAGCAGCAAAAAUAAACUAUUGAAGCAAUGGAAAGAUCAAAUCUUUCUCACCGUGUAAUAAUACCUCUUUCCCUUCUCCAAAUUACUCAUCACCCCAUCGUGUGUAAACCCUGGAUCCCUCCACCCGAUGGUCGCGUUCGCGGGGUAAUCACACAUAUCCUUCCUCUCAUACCUCCUCACGUCCGUUUUCGCCAUCCGAUCGAGCUUCUCCAUAUCCAAUCCGUAGCUCACGAAGCUCUCCGCCCCAUCCACGGUGACAAACAUCACCCGCAUCUCAUCCUCCCGAUCCGUGAUCGACAGGUGGAUCUGAUCGGGCCCUAGAACCUUCCCGAACCCCACCUCCUCCGACGCCGCGAGACGAUGCUUCGUCCCCGGAAGUGGGUUCCCGUCGUGGUCGUGGUGGCGGUCGCUCACCUCGUUCCUGGUCCAUCGAAACACCCGGAACACGUAGUUGGAUCGGAGAUCCACCAAGGGGAGAUCAACGUACCCCGAUCCGGAUUGCCAAUCGCGCGAGGAAUUGAGGAAGACGUAGCCAAUGAACUCCUUGUCGGGGGAGUUCGGGGGUGAGUAGAUCCCGAGCCAAUCGAGAUCGGAGGGGGAGUCUACCCCCGACCAUUGGAUCCGCACGGUGCGGUUCGAUCGGGUGAGGGUUUUGGGGGAGACCGAGAGGGAGACGUGGGAGGAGAGGGAGGGGGAGGGGGAGAGGAAGGAGACGAAGAAGAUAAGGAAGAGGACUUGGGUCGACGCCAUUGGGGAGGAGCUUAUGCGGGGGAGGGGAGAGAGAGAGAGAGAGAGAGAGAGAGAGAGAGCUGGUGACGGACGUGGUGGUGAGGAAUUAAAUAUUGGGUAUAAAAGAACAAGGGUCGGGAGGAGAAACGAGAAACGGGGUUGGUUGGAAUGAGUCGAUCAUAGCCGUCGGAUUAGGAUCGAUAUUAAGGGAGGGUGGGGGAAGGAGGAUGAUGCUAAUGAGGUAUCGGGUGGUGCGGUUACAUGAUAAGAACGUUUUCUUGAGUUGCAAUUAAGGUGAUAUUCAGAUUCUGUGUCCGGCCCAGGUGGAUGAGUAGUUGUUAGUGAGUGGACGUCUCCGGACUUUGGAGCGAUCGAAAGCAGAACAAAAUUUAUGAAUUUUAUAAUAUUUGGUUUCGUAAAGUUUGGAUGAUUUUACAACUUCGAUGCUGAAAUGAGCUCAUGCUAAGUAUAAUCUUUUCUGAGAUUCAAAAAAAUAAGCGGGCCUUUAACACUUUUCACUUUGUUACUCGGAGGAGGGACCGAAGCCCGAAUCGGAGUGUUGUAUUGGGUUCCUUAAAAUGGGCUAGAAUUUUGGGCUAUCGGUGGAAACUAGGCCCAGCGCCUUUGCAUACAUAUUAUUACUCACCGCGUUGGACUUGGAAAUUAGUCUGAAACUGAAGCCCAGAAUAAACCGUAAUGAAGGGACGUAUCGAAUCUCAAAGCACCAUUGGAGGGCUUGGAUAUCAGCGAAUGUGGCUAAGACCCCGUCUCUAAAACAGAUUAAGUAAACCCGACCCCAUUGGUCUCUUCCGUUCAUGCCAUUCAUUUUACUUCAUGCCAUUCAUUUUACUACAUUGAUUACCGCACGUCCCGCUUUCCUCUUCAUGGGUCUCUCGCCACGGCGUUUAAAGCCCACCACCCCUUCCCUCCCUCUCUUUCUCUCUCUCUCAUUCCAAAUGAUCCCCAUCUCUCCUAAAUGAUCACCGAGCAUAUUCAGAAAACAAUGAAGAAGAAGAAGAGCUCUUCCGCCGCCUCCAUCCUCUGGCCUCUCCUCUUGGCCACCCUUCUCCUCCCACCGCCCUCUCGGGCCCGGCUUCUUGAGCCCACCUCCGACGCGGCCGCCUUGGCCCAUCUCUGCCGUGCCCAUCGGGCCCACUGGGCCCACCACCACCACCACCACCACCGCCUUGCGGUGCAUCAUCCGCCGCCUUCUUGGUGCUUCCAAUUCCUGCAAACACAGCUUCACCCACCGCCGCCGCCGCCGCCGCCGCCGCCGAGCGGAGAAGAGAUCGACCCAAGGUAUGGCAUGGUGAAGCGGCUCGUGCCCACCGGGCCCAACCCUCUUCACAACUGAUCCACAGGCUCGCCCGGCCGACCGACCGACCGACCCAGUCCGGCUUGGCGCGUCUUCUCUUGUGGAUUUUUGGAUAGUCAUACUAUUUCCGUCUUGAAUUCAUAUAUACUAGUACAAAGUCCUUUCUUGUUCUUUCUUUCCGUUUCUUGUUGUGCGUGGCUUCCUAUUGCCGAAUCAAGGUGAAUCACUGUACUAGUUUCAAUUGAUGGAAAGAGAUUACAAUGGAGGAUGUUUGCUUCAAAAAACAAAAAAAUAAAUAAAACUUUUUUUUAGGGGUUCAUAUUUCUACUAUGGCAAUGAAAAAAAAAAAAAAAAAACUUCUCUUUUUUUAAAUUUUGAUUCAUAUUUCCAUUAUGGCAAUGGUGGUCUUUUAACAGUAGUCAAGAGAAUCUUAUGAGUUCAUUAAAUUAUGGGGACUCAAUGCACCAGCACUUUUCUGGUGGGGGCAGCUUUACAUUAUACGGACGCUCCCAUAGUGUCCUCCAAUGUAUCUCCCCAACAGUUAUGAAGAGCAUUCAUGGGUUGCUCAUUUGUUCCAGUGAACAUUAAUGUCAACUACUAAGCCACUUAUAGAAAGAAAAAUGCGUGUUUCUGUGCUCUCCUACGUACGUCUAUGUACUCUGCUUCUCCGCUUGUCAUGGUUAUUAUUAUUACUACUAAAUAGGAAUCUUUUGUAGCCUUUCUUUUUUUUCUUUUUUUCUUUUUUUUCCUACUGUUGGUUUUUAGUGAAUUGCAAAUUUAUGUGUUUUUUGACUUAAUUUCCUGAUAAUCUCAUCUACAAAAUUAGUUGUUGUUGCUAAAAGUGGUUUCCUGCUUUUAUACACUCGGUUUACAAUAGCUUCAUUUUUAUUUUCCUUCCAAGUUCUACGAUUUUGAAGGCAUCUAUGUAUAGUUUGUAGAUUAGUUUGCAAACUCACUUUUUAAGGGAAAAUAGAGUCCCAAAGAAACAAUAAGCAUUACUACUAACUUCACAUUUUUCAUUUAGAAACUGUUAAGAACAAUAAUUCUACACUGCCUCAAAAAUUUGCUUAGUUCAUCUCCUUUACGAAUGAAGCGGUAGCAUACUACCUUUUCUCAAAAAAAAAUAAUUCCGUAGUGGGUACACAGUAAAACCUUAAUUAAUAUAUAAUAUCAGGUAUUUCUUACCUAUUAGAUUACGCUUUUCGGGUAGACCCGAUUGAGAUCCAUUCGGGUUUACGAUCAAAUCCGAGUCCAAACAGUUGCCAACUAUGGGGAAAGCAAGUUUGUAGUAAAAUCAUGGGCCAGGCUGGGCUGGAUCAGCUCAAAAAAUUUUGAAUCCAUGGGCUGGGCCUAAAUGUUUCGGGCCUUAAUAUUUAUACGAGAUCUCGAACUUUGUAAACUUAAAAUUAUCUCGGGUAUAAGGUUUAAUUUCACCUAAUUUAAUAGAUAAAAUUUGGGCUAUUGAUUAAUCUUAACAACUAUCAAUCAUAAACAACAAAGAGCAUGCAAUAUUUUCCAAGUCGUAGCCAAGAUGCCAGGAAAUUUCCGGCCAAAUCUAAGCAAUGAAAAAGAAAAGAGGUUCCCAGUGAGUGGUGUCGAGCACAUGGUGGGACAUUAUCAAGCUUAGAGUCUCCCUAUUCAGAGCUCCUACAACUAGCUUUUCCUCGUCACUUUGAAUGGCUCUUUUCUACGCUCUAGCUCUAGGCAUUUUCACUCUUAUUGGUCAGAAACAUGUUUCUAAUCUCUAGCGGCCUGUUUAGUCCAGUUGAAAUAAAAGUUAGAUGUUUGACAAAUAAAAAUCUAGACACUUUCUAAAACGAGCGGGAAGCAGAACGAGCAGAUCCAACUCGAAACUUUUUUUUGAUUAAACAGGGAUAUACCCUAUUUGAUAAAGGGAGUACAGAUUGAGAACUCGAAACUUUUUAACUACUAGCUUUAAUAGAAAGCUAUGGAGAUUACUUUAAUAUGUCUAGUGCUUUCUCGAAUAGAUUUACUCAAAACACUUUUAUAAAAGCUCCGGGCGAGGCCAAAGCGGUCAUAGUAACGCCAAAUGCAAAUGCCAGGGAAGUCAACAAAGAAGGGAACCACUGAACACAUACCUUGUGGCUUGUGGCUUUCAUGAGAUCACCAUUUAAGUCCCUGAUCAUUGAAGCAGAUUAAUAGGAGAGUGGGGUCCAAGCUGCAGCAGCACAGCAGCAGCAUCUGAAGCAGUGUUUCCUUGCACCAAUUGAAUGCUGUGGUUCUAUCGAUGACCAUGGUUAUGAUACCAUGGCUUGCCGACAGAAGCCUGCAAUCAUAAGAUCCUACAAAAUAUAAUUUUUUUAAAAAAAACCCAAGAAAAACCUUAAUCAGUAUUAAGAUAAUCAUAGCAAAUUUCUUCUCCUCCUUUUCUAUGCCGUGAAAAACAGAGGAGGAAAAAAUUCUCAAUUGAACCAGGUAUCACAUUUAGUAAUUAUCUGUGAACAGUUUAUUCUGUUGUGAUAGCACAUCAUGGUAUAUUGAAUAAAAAGGAUGGUGUUUAGAGCCUUCCUUGGUUAGAGGAAGCCGAUUAAGUGGCAAAGACAAAGUGAAAACAGCUUGGGAUUAAAGAAAUAGAUGAAUACCAAACAGGGCAAACUUACAUGCAUUGAAAAGCAAAAGGCUUGCAGAAUGAGAAAUGCGCUGUUCUCUCAUGGGGUGCAAAGCAUGUGAUGGAUUUUUCCAAUGUAUAAAACACGUGCAUUUAUUACAUCCUGAAUACAUGCAAUUUGUUUACGCAAAAAUCAAGAUUCUGUACUGUAACAACCAGUCCACAUAUGUUUGUAGUGCGAUGGAACUAAUUCUGAAUAAAAGUCACAUACGAAGUGCUUUCAAUCAUACUAGCAAAAACCAUCAUGAGGACCUACAGCGCAACAUCAUCCUCUAACUCGACUCAAAAGUAACUACGAGAUGUUGAGAUCCAAUGCCAAUGGACAGCUAGUCAUUAAGCACCUUUGUUAUGAAUCAUUUCAAUAAGCCCAACAUGAUGAUGCGUUUAUAUAACAUGAUGUAUGCUCUGUAGCUUGAUUAUUCAACAUGAUGUACACUCUAUAGCUAGAGCAAUUCAUAUUUUAAAACAACUGAUUGUUAUUUUUCUUUUUUCUACAACAUGAUGUAUGCUCUAUAGCUCUAUCGUACAACAGAUGAUACAAAAAUUAAUUACAAAAAAUAGAUAACAAGUGGUCAAAUAAGUAUAUUUCUCUUCUGUCAACAUCUUCUUUGGCCUAGCUUGCAAAGACUCGAAGGUGCAGAAAAAUCUAGAUGUCUGAACUUACUUGAGAUUUUAUCUUUUCUGGUCAUGCAGAUAAAUCAAGUUGGGAUCAGAUUAAUUCUCACUAGUCACUGAAGAGUCUAUAGAGUCAGAGAUCACUUAGCUAACAAUGAUGGGUUUCCAGUAUAUCAAAUUCAGUUUUCACCAAUCUGGUCGAGCAACCUGAUCAUUCAGUUUCUCCAAUAAACUAUAUUUCUUCCAUUUGCGAAUGAAUCUAUUUUCCCGGAACAAACUCAUGAACAUACCCACCAAGCUCAAUGGAGCUGCAACCUCGCCUUCAGGAAACCCUCUGUCCCUCAUAGUCUUCCUCAACCUCCGGGCGUUAUUCUCAUAAGUAUUCGAUAACAGAAUAUAAGAUCCGCCAUGAACCUCCAAUAGAGAGAGAUGGUCAGCUGCAACUUCAGCCAAUCCUGUCUCUCCAUGAAUCCAAGAAGCGCUCAACAUGGAUCUCCAAGCGAUCACCUCUCCGAGGGGCUGCUUCAAUGCGGCAUCUCUUUGACGACCUUUGUAGCUUCUUUCAAGCACCUGGUUUGACUAAGAAAGUUAACAAUACACCCAUAAUGCUCACUUUUAGGAUCAUCAUAUCAUCAUUCUGUAUAAUAUCUCCGAGCAUUCUUCCACCAAACCCGAAUGGCUACAAGCGGAUAAUAAUGCAGUGAAUGUGGCAUAAUCCGGCCUCAGCUCUUCUCUCCGCAUGAGAUUAAACAGCUCUAGUGCUCCGUCCCCGUCGCCGUGCAUGGCUAAUGCCAAAAUCAUCACAUUCCAAUUUAUGGUAUCUCUUUGAGACGUUUCACUGAAGAGCUUUCUAGCCAAGCUCAAAUUCCCCACUAUUUACAUACAUGUCUAUAAGAGCAGUCCCCAACCGAAAUGCUCAGCGGCAAAACAACCCAGUUCAUGGAGCCAUGUGCCAAGAUCGACGGAACCUUCAACAUACCCAGCAAUCAUUGACCCCUAAAUCCCCUUAUCCUUUCUCAGAGCUCCGUCGAACACCAUCCGAGCUUCGCCCGCCUCCCCCAGUUUACCAUACCCAGAUACCACAACAGUCCAAGACGAUUCAUUUCGUUGAGGCAUAUUAUCAAACACCUUCCUUGCACAACCCGCUUCGCCAAAAACCAAGCUUCACCACAUGGGCAUGAACGCGUAGACCAAUUCUCCCUUCCCGGAGCUUCGCGCGAGCCUUUGGAACGUACGGGAGAGUGUUGGAGAUGGGCGUGGGAUCGCUUUAGAUGUUGCGGGGUGUUGCAUUUUUGUGGCGGUUGGAGGCUUAUUCGGCUGCUGCUCACGGGCGGUCGUGAUGCGGAGCCUCGAACUCCGGCGACAUGGAUUAACGGAUAGUCGGAUAGGGCAAAUUCACCCAUUAGUCCCUAAACUUAAUGUCGAAUUCCACUUCGGUCCUCUAACGUUUUAGAAUUACCUUUUUUUAGUUUUUUGUGACAUGGAGCCAUGGAGGGAAACCUAAUACACACAGCUGGUUCAUUUGUACGAUUGCGCAUCACAAAAUUGUCGGUGUCUCCACAUCUCGUAUAUUCAAAUUAAUAAAUUAAAAUAAAAGAAAAAGAAUAAAGAAAUAAAAGUUCAACACUAAAAGUUAAACGUCUUUAGAAAUUCAAACUAUUAAAUAUUAAAUUUAAAUAUUUAAAGAAUCGGAAUGAAACUUUGGGCAGAAUUUACGAGCCGGUAGUUUAGUUUACCUGUCCGGACGGUUAGAAUUUUUGCACUUUCGUCCUUUAAAGUAUGGUUAUUGCAUAUAUGCAUUUUCUAACAAUAUCACACUUUAAAAUAUUUAUAAUGCUUCCAUAUUAUAUGCAUUUUUGAAAAUAUUUAUAAUCCUUUAAAGUAUGAGAAUAUUUUUUUUCAAAUUUUUUAUAUUAAUAAUAAUGAGAGCUACCGACAGUUUCUAGCUUACGUGAUAAAAAAAUUUAAUAAUUUAGAAUAUAUUAGAUUUUAAAAUUUAAAUUUAAUUAUUUUAUAUUUUUAGAUAAGCUGAAAUUUUGUUGUUUUAUAUUUGCAAUUAAAUUUUUUUUUUUUAAAUAAUAGUGUAGUGUAACAGGGGAGAGGUAAAAUGGAAUAAAAGUAAAUACUUGGAAAUCGUCGGUGCUUUUUUUACCGUCCCUAAUUACUUUGUACCUUUUAGAUUAGAUUCCGUUGCAUAGCUUAUACGACUAAUCACCCUUUUUUCUCUGCCUCUAUGAAGUGGCCCCAAUCAUCAUCAGGUCAAAUCCUCAAAAUCUUUUGUUUAUUCGAUUUACUCCACCUCUCUCUCCUCCGAAACAAAUUAAAAUGAAAUAAAAUAAAAGUCUCGUUCCCAUCUCUCUCUCUCUCUCUCUCUCUCUCUCUCUCUCUCUUCACCUUCUCCGCCCCAAGAAGCGUUACGAGAUCUCACGAAUACGCGAUCCAAUUCGCUCAAAGCGAUACGGAUCUCGCAACAGAAGCGAAAACCAUCGAGGAAGAGGAAUCGGAAGGGGAUUUUGCUUUGUUUUCUCGCUUCCUUCUUCGUCGCUGGAGUGGUAAAGGAGAUCCUUCUUCUCCCUUCAAUUCGGGAAGAUCUCCCGAACGAAAUUUACCUCGGAAAUCCAAUGCCGGAUCUCGAGGGCCCGGCAAAAUCCCACCUUUCCCACCCCCGCCUCUCGAUCUCCCCGAGCUCCUCCGCUGUGUUCCAUGGUGUUGGGUUGUGGCCGCUUCCGAGGUUCACACCCAUGGCGCGUUGCUGUUGAGAGCAUCUCCGUCUCCUCCACGACGACGACGACGACGACGACGAGGACGAGGGCGACGGGGGCGCGGGGAGCCGGCGGCGUGACGUGGCGGCGUCGGCUUCGAGGAUGCAGAUCCGGUUCUCGCCGAGCAUGAGAAGCAUCACGAUAUCGAGUACCAAUGGGCUUCUCGACUUGAUGAAGCUUAAGGCCGCGGCUCGCCACAUCUCCUACCGAACCCUCUUCCACACCAUCCUCAUCCUCGCCUUCCUCCUCCCCUUCGUCUUCAUCCUCACCGCCGUCGUCACCCUCGAGGGCGUCAACAAGUGCUCCUCCCUCGGUAAGCUCAUUGAUUUCCGAUUCCUCUGUAAUCUCUUGAAUCUUUAGGCUAUAAUGCGUGGAUUUCGUGUGAAGUGGGAAAUUCGUGUUCAUGUUGUUGAUUUUGCAUUAAAUUGGAUCACGAGGUGUUCGAUGAUUUGCCUUUGGAUUAUGCGAUCUUAAUUUAUAUGGUUUGAGCGAAAGGUACCAACUUUAUCUCCUGUUACGUCUCUCAUUUAUCAAAUCUCACUUAACUCUGGUGUAAAUUAGGGAGUUUGAGUAAAAGUGUUGUUAAUUCUGCAUCAUAUUGGAUCACAAAGUGCUUAGUGAUUUGUCUUUUGGUUGUCAUGUGAUCUGAAUUUCCAGGUUUUGAGAUCAAGUUACUAAUUUUAUCUUUUACUACAUCUUGUGAUGAUCAAAAUGUGUUCGGACUCCUUGAUUCUGGCACAGUGGCAUGUGGUUAUCCAAUCUCGAUCGGCAGGGUUUGUCAUAAUGCGAAUUUCGGUACUUUUGAUAAAUUUGGUAGCUGAGUUUCCUGAUUUGUUAAUGUUUCCUUGCUUGUUAGUGCUUGAAGAUAUCUUUAUUUCUAUCCGUAAGUGCUUGCGGUUGUUGUCUCCAGCUGUUUUUAGAGUUGGGCUGAUUUUGUUCUUGCCAGCUCACUAGGAUUUCCAGUUGUUGCACUCUUUUCAUUUUAAUUGGUAUUUUUCCUUUUCUGAUAUAGUUGUUAAGCUGGCAAAUUGCACUCUUUCUUUCCUUUUUUUUCUUCUCGUACAAGAUGUUUUGGUACAUUUUGUCCAGUUUUCAAAUCGCAUCCUUUUAGUUGCCGUUAUUAAGCUUCUCCUCUUCCUUCUUAUCCCAAAAAGUGUGUCUGUAACUUUAUGAGAUGGAUUUGCUUUUGGAUGCCAGAGUGACUUGCAAGACGAUUUGAUGAUAUUUCCAGUAAAAUUGGUUUCUGCAGCUGGUUUCAUUGUGGUCUCAAUCUAGAUAUUAGGAAUAAUGAAAGGGACUAGAUCCUAUCUAAUUUUAGGUUUAGAUCUGAUUUGGAAUUCCCUUAACACUUAUUGUUUUAGUUUCCAUAAGCUGUAGGACAAAUUUAGUGGCAUACAUCAGGUAUCUUAACUAAAAUCUGCUGAAGCACUAGCCCAAUUCUAUCCUCUUCCUAUAUAUUUUUGUGUUUCCUCUUCCACUUUUGCUUCUUUGGUAUGAGACCACUACAAGGUGUUUGCUGUAGUGCAAUGAUUUUAUAUUGUCUUCUCUUCUCUUGUAUCAUAAACUCUUUGACUGUGUGUGUUGGUUAUAUACGAAUAUAAAUUGUUAACUGCAAAAUAUAUAGGCAACUUAGUAGCUUUGCUUUGGUGCAAUACAGUUUGGUAGGUCAGUGAAAUCCAUUUUUCAUUAAUUCUUUCUGCUUGUAUCAGAUUGUUUAGGAAGGCGGCUUGGUCCAAGAUUUCUUGGCAGGGGUGGUGACUAUUCAAUGGUACUUAUCCAUUCUUUUAUAUUCAAGUUUACAAUAUGAUCGUUGAAAGAAUAACUUUGGUUCUUACACUAGAUUGCGUAAUUGCACUUAUGCAGAGGCUUGUGAGAGAUUUAUACAAGAUACUUGACCAAGUAAACUCUGAGGAAGUUCCAGUUGGUUUUAAGGUGCCAGAAUCUUUCAAUGAAUUACUCUCUGAUAUAAGGAAUAACCAGUAUGAUGUGAAGACAUUUGCUUUGAAGUUGAAGGCAAUGGUAUGCUUUCUAGUUUUCUGGCCAAUAAGGGUGACUUUUAGAAAUGCUGCAUGUUGUAUUUUAUUUAUCCACCAUGUGGUUAAAAUUCGUAGCAUUUUGCCAUCCUUCUUAACAGCAGGGUUCUAACAAAAACCAGAAACCAAAGGGGCACAAAGUGUUACUUUUUGAACCACAGGAUCUAAAGUGAAAUCAGGCUAUACCAUAAAGGGUUCUUUUUUAAGUUUUCCCAAAAUAAUUUCAUUUAUUGCUCUAAAUUUUGUUCUACAAAAGUUUUAGCGUACGAAAGUCAACUUUUAAUGUAUGUUCUUCUCACUAGGUUAUUUAUGGCUUGCGCUUCUGCAUAUCCUAUUUUCAUUCUUGAAUGCACAUAAAUUUUAUGAGAUGCAACAUUUAUUGAACUUAAAAAGUUUUUUCCCAACAUACUAAAUUGAUUUAGGUGGAAUAAGUUUUUGUCCUUGCUGAGAGCAACAUUAAAAAUUAAUUAUACAUGGAUUCUUUUUAUAAAACUGAUUCGGCGAUUAGUUCUGGUUUUUUCCCCCUUUUCUCUUAGUAAAUGUGUGUACAUGCAGAUGGAAAAUAUGGAUAGGGAGGUAAAAAGAUCAAGACUAGCAGAACAGUUGCACAAGCACUUUGCAGCGACAGCAAUUCCUAAAGGCAUUUACUGCCUCUCUUUGCGAUUGACCGAUGAAUAUUCAUCCAAUGCUCAUGCAAGGAAACAACUACCACCUCCGGAAAUGUUACCUCUCCUUUCAGAUAACUCCUACCACCAUUUUAUUCUAGCCACUGAUAACAUUCUUGCUGCCUCAGUUGUGGUCACAUCGGCUGUCCGAUCUGCUUUAAAGCCUGAGAAAAUAAUUUUCCAUGUGAUCACCGAUAAGAAGACUUAUCCGGGUAUGCAUUCAUGGUUCGCUUUGAACCCUAUUUCACCUGCGAUUAUUGAGGUGAAAGGUGUUCACCAAUUUGACUGGUUAACAAGAGAGAAUGUACCAGUUCUUGAAGCUAUGGAAAAUCAUCACGGUGUUAGAAUACAUUAUCAUGGAAAUCACCUCACAGGGACCAAUGAUGGAGAUAACCCUAGGGUUUUCGCUUCGAAACUGCAAGCCAGGAGCCCAAAAUACAUUUCUCUGCUCAAUCAUCUGCGGAUAUACCUGCCUGAGGUAAAAUAGCUCAUGUUAUAUGGGCAUCAUUUCUUUCUGUAGGUUAUCUCAUCUAUAUUAGUGAAUCUUGUAUAACAUACUUCACCAUUCCAAAUGUUGAAUCUGGUUAACAAUACAGUUAAGAAAUAAUGUAUUAGCAAAGCAGAUUUACAAAGAUGACAAUGUCGAACUUUAUAAGGUUAUUUGUCCAUAACAAUACCUAAAAUGGGUGGCUACAGGUUUGCUGUCGCUUUUAUUGUGCUGCACCUAGGCCUAUGCAGAUACAGUAUAUGGGGAGUGGUGAAAGGAACUCCACUCACAUAUGCAGCUGCGCAUGUAGGCAUGCACUGGUUUUUAGACAACUGGUCAGUAAAAUUGGUGAAAUGUGCAACCAGAGAAUGGGAUCUCACCUUUUAUAAUUAUAAAUUUUUGUGAUGUCAGUUAACAAUAAGUAUCUCAAAUAAUAAAUCAAAAAUUUUCCACUCUUGAGAUAUGAUGAAUACUGCCAAAAUUGAAAUGCAUAAAGCAAAGGAUUCAAUAAUCUCAUAAAUCACAUUUCCUCUCUGGCCUAAACUGAAGUAUUUCCCCUUAGUUUCUUGAAAUUUGGGUCAUUUUGCUCACUUACUAAUUCUGGUGCUUUAUAUACUUUUUGAACAGCUCUUUCCAAACCUCAACAAGGUGGUAUUUCUUGACGAUGAUAUUGUUAUCCAGCGGGACUUGUCUCCGCUGUGGGAUAUAGAUCUUCAUGGGAAGGUAAAUGGAGCUGUUGAGACUUGCAAAGGUGAAGAUGGAUGGGUGAUGUCUAAGCGCUUCAGGACAUACUUUAACUUUUCUCACCCCCUCAUAGCAAAUAAUUUGGACCCUAAUGAGUGUGCAUGGGCAUAUGGGAUGAACAUCUUUGACUUGAGUGCAUGGAGGAAGACAAGUAUUAGAGAAACAUAUCAUUUCUGGGUGAAGGAGGUAAAACUUUAAUUCAUUCCCAUUCUUCACAAUUUAGUGAGUAGCCAUGCAAUUUCACUUUAAAUGUGUCCCUCAUGAGAUUUGACUUUUGGAAAGAAAUCUACGUGCUUAUUGUUUAUCAUUAUAUAUACUUGCUUGUUGAAGCAUGUUUAUCCCGGCUCAACUAUGCAAAGCUUGGACUGCUGUAAGGCUUGAUUCUGGAAAUACCUACAUAGUUUUAUAUCCAUUAAUCCUGUCAUUCAUUUUUUGUCAUCCGAGUUCACAUUUAGUGAAGAAAGCUAAAUUUCAAGAAUCAGUGGCUCAUUGUUUUACAACUUCUGUUGAAAAGAAACUUUUGAUUUAGUUGAUAAAUUACUAGCUAUAAUGUCAUGGAAAUGCUUUUAACAAUAUGAUUUUUAGAGCACUUGUACCCUGUUCACCAUUCAGGUUAUCUAUACUGAAACUUUGACGUGUGUUACUUUACGUUUUUGUCAUAUCAUUUUACCAAAUCACUGCUCUGUUUUACUUUCAAUUUCCCUAAUCAGAGCACCUGAGCCUGAUCUUAUUUUUAUAGUCUUUGGUUCUUUCCUGUCUUCCAUUCCAUUGCAGAAUCUGAAGUCGAACCUCACACUAUGGAAGCUUGGAACAUUACCACCAGCUCUUAUAGCCUUCAAAGGCCAUGUUCAUCCUAUAAAUCCAUCUUGGCACAUGUUAGGCUUGGGCUAUCAGGAAAAAACCAAUGUCAACAGUGUACAAAAAGCCGCCGUGAUACACUACAAUGGACAAUGCAAACCUUGGUUGGAAAUUGGGUAUAAGCAUCUCCAGCCAUUUUGGACGAAGUAUGUGAACUACUCGAAUGACUUCAUAAAGAAUUGUCAUAUUAUAGAACCUCGAUAACUGAUAAAUAAGACUUGAAAAAUAAUUAGAGGAGAGUAAGCAGUGAGAUGGAAUGGAAUGCAUUAAUCUAUCAUUGGAUGCUCGCGAUAGGAUAUUCUUCAAGAUUAUCAAGAAGAAAUUGGUGAGAUGAGCACUACACUCAAAGAUGGCUGUUGCCUCGACAACCCAUAUCACUUCAGCAGUACUCGCUUUUCUAGUGGCAUAGGAAAUUCUUUUAAUUAUGUAUCAUAGUGAUUGAAGUUUCGUCGGUAUUAUGAAGGUAGUUAUUUGAUGUCUUCCUGGAGGGGUAUAUAAUGCCUAUUGGUGUAAAUGAUGCUAGAGAAGUAGCCAUGGGCAGAGCAGCAGAUUACAUUUUUCGCCACCGCGAAAACAAGGAUCGUAGUUUUGUCUCAUGAUGCGCUUAUAAUCCCGCUGUACACCCUUUCUUUUUUCCCUUUUUGCUAUUUGAUAAUUUAUUAAACUUAACCUUUUCUCGGUUCUCUAUUUGUCCUCUGAUUAAGAGGACAUGAUUAUUGUUGUAGGCCCCCAUGUAUUUAUGGGGUACUUUAAGAUAUUUGUUACUAUUUAUUAGAUAUUGAAAUGUGCAGGUAAUAAUUUUUUAACUCUUAUCUCCUUGCUAACAUCUGUUGAUGGUAUUCUUAUUCCAUUUCUUGCCAGCUAAUGUUGCUAACCGUGUAAGAAUGAAAGGAAAGUUUACUGUUUUUUUCCCAUUGCUCUUUUAAUAAAUGAAAUAUUGAAAUAGGAAAGCUUAAUUUAAAGGGGAGUGCUUUAAUUUGUGGAUUCUUCUAUAGUUGGUGCUUCAGUUGCUUAUUCAUUUCUUUUUUAAUCUUUUUGGCUUGAUUGGCAAGUGGCGGUGAGCUUUUUGAAUCUCAAAAAGCUCAGCGGGUGCCAAGAAGGUUUCAAAUUGAAGAUUCUGAUUUUGGUGAAAUUUGAUUGGAAACAGGUUCGCAAUCUUUUUCCUUGCAAAUUGCUGUUAUGCCUAAGUCAUUGGCAAAAGCACCAAACCGAGGCUUCUACAGUUUGUGUCCAUGCACCUGAUUUUUAUUUUCUCUAUUAGAAAAAUUAUUUCAGAAGCUGGGCCACAUGAGCACCUAGUUUGCCUACUGUAAGAAAAGAAUUACUUGCUGAUAUACAUAUAAUCACAACUAGUGAAAAUAAACAGGAACAGAUUGGUAAAUCAAACAUCAAAUUUUGAGAAUCACCAGUAUCAUUUACAAGAUAGAUUUAAAUAACAAAUUAUAAAAGAAAACGACAUACACAUACACAAAAGGUUUGGAAAUAACACCCUCAGAUAUUUAGUCCAAUUACAACCUUCUGAGAAUGACACAAGGGAAAAUUCUAUAUAGAUGCCACUCAAAAUAGCAGUACCUCCCACAGCUUAUUAUUCAACAUCUGACAUGUAUGAGAAGAAUCAAAUCAAAUUGGUAUUUAAGUAUCAAACCAAAAAAAAAAAAAAGAAGAAGAAAAUGAAAAAGAUUUAUACCGCCACUCUCUGCAGUGCAUCGAAAGGCUGACAACAAGCCACUCACAUAUACAGGAAACAUACAAACCUUUCAACUCCUCAAGAAAGAAAUUAAAGAUUAUAUGGAGUAAUCCGCAAGGGGCAAAAAAUGUACGCAAUCUAUUAAAUACUUACGUCACGAAAUAAAAUCACGGAACUUCGGCUGUCGGAACUGAUUUGCUUUCUUGCAGCAAGAUCACAGUUUCAAAAGCACCCACCAAGGCCUUCACCUUACUCUUUCUAGUUUCAACAAGCUUACUCGCCGUUUCUUCUAUGACAUGAUUGAAUAGGCCUUGUGAAUCUUUCUUUCCUAGCACAUCUUGAUGUCUCAACACAAUAAUUGGUGCUUCUGAGGUACUCGAGUCUACAGCAGCAGACUCUCUCCUCCUAAUGAAGUUUCUCCCCUCCACUUCCCCUUUAGUAUUCUGAUUUUCACCGACCACUCUCGGCUUCCUGAAUUUUAGUCUUCUCGGUCCAUUGUUCUCGGACUGAAUGUUCACCACCUUGCCUCUGCGAAAUUUCAUCUUGUGGGGUGAAGUCAAGUUAUCGUCGGAGAUAACACUUGCACUUCUUCUCAAUUUCCUGAUGUUUACACCUUUUAAAUCAUUCGAGACUUCAGUGAUUGCUGACACGGAGCCAUGCACUUCUUUUCCACGAGAUGAAAUCGAUGGUGCAGGUUUUGAUGAUGAGGCCAACAAUGAACUUCUCGCUGGUGAGGAGAAAUUGUCUUUGAAAGAUUUCUUUUUUAUGAUCUUAAUAUCUGUCUUCUCUAAUUUCCAGUCAAUGACAUGUAAGGUUUUCUCCUUGAUAUUAUCAGCACGAGAAUCCAAUCUUCCAAGUUCCCUUUGGUUCUUUGUUGGGGAGAUGGAAAUAGCUUUAUUGUAUUUUCUCAGCUUAAUGCUUGAAACCGACUUGAGAGCAGCCUUUACAGGAAUAGACGGCUUGAGCUGCUUCCUCACAUCCUUUUGUCCAUUGUCUGGCUCAUCUUCGCCCUCGGUAGUCUUCUUCGCCAGGCUCUUUCGGCUUGCUUGGCCUCCUAAAGAAAUUGAUGAAAGUUUUGUUUUCACCACUGAAGUUUCUGGCUUUGGAAAGCUACGACGUUUGACAGAUAAAUCAGUUGCAGUAGGUGAUGACAAAGAUUGAUUCUCGUUAACUCUUGAUUUGACAGAUGCAAUCAUACUCUUUACAGACGAUGGGCUCUUCUUCGUCUUCUCGUUGUUACUUGUUUCUUUGAAAGAUUUUAGUGUUCUUUUAAGAGGAGAUGGAGCAAUUUUAUUUCUGCCAAAUUCCCCUUCUUCACCAUUCUUUUUCUUGGUAGUUUUAGCCUUAUCAGAACCCUCAAUUUUCUCAACAACCUUUGGUUUUCUCAGUUCUGGCUUUUUCAAAUCGCUCGAAUUCGAAACCUUCAUUGAUUUCUUUUCCAUAGAAAGUCCCGCUGCUUGCUUACGGGGUGUUUCUUCCAUUUGAUUACCUUUGUUUUUGACAAGUGCUUCAGCUGUUCCAUUAAGCUCAGCCGAUACAAUGGCUUCUUGAACAUAUUCUGUGAUUGGCCCUAAGCUUACAUGCUCCUCGGAUAAUCCUUCUCCAGCCGACUUUAUGCUUAAAUUUUCAUCAGAUGAUCCCACCGAAUCAGCUCGUGCAUCUUUGUCCAAUGCAUCACUUUUCUGGAUGGUUGAUGGUAUCACUAAUUUUAUGCUCACAGCCUCCUCAGACGAUCCUCCAUCUAUAUCAGGUGGUGUAUUUCCAAGAGAAAAGGCACCCUUUAAAUCAGCUGUGUGAGAGCUAAGAUCUGUGCUCAAAGGAGCUUCUGCUGGUGCUUCUGCUAAAUUCAUGGGUGGAUCAAAAAGCUGAUAUACUUUUUCAGGUGGCAAUGGCAUCGACUUAAUAGAACGAUCAUCCUCUGACGAAGAUAUCUUCGGCUUAACCUCUUCUCUCUUUCUUCUCCCUUUAUGGCUUGUAAUAAUUAACUGAUCUUUUUCUCUCUCAGGAAUCUUAAUAGUAUUAUUUCCCUUUUGGAAAUGAACAGGUAUCCUUUUCUUAGUAUCAAACCCAUGUUUAUGUCCAUAUUUACAGAAGUCGUGGCAAGAACCAGAAGAAGGCUUGAGAUAAUGGGGUAUAGGCUUUGCGCUGCCAUUAUCUGCUUUCGCUCUCGAGUUUAUAGGAGUUGGUGAGAUAAUGCCCCUCUCUGUUGCUUCUUCACUCAUUGAAACAAGAGAAGAAGGAUAGUGUCGCUCACUGCUGCAAUACUAUUAGCAAGAAGGCAUGUGAUUAAAAGGCUAGUCCUGUUCUAAUAGUGAACAGAAGAAGUAGCAAAAGAACUUUAGAAACAAGUGCAAUAGAUCAAGUAAGUUUCCUGUAGUUGCUUUUACCAAACCUUUACUAUACACAAAUUUUAAGAGUCUGUAUUGAAAAUAAUAAUAAUAAUAAUAAUCUCUAAUACAAUCUACUGCGACUAGAUAAAAUAUAUGAAAAAGGUAAGCCUACUUUAAGAAGUCUAAAAAGAACUAAAUACUGAAGCUAUAAUAAAGAUAUUCAGAGAAUGGAAUAGACACAAGCAAACAGCAGAGACUCCAUUAUAAACAUCAAUUAUUUGAUGAAGGUGACAUACUAUCUAAUGUAUCCUUUACCAAUCCUUCAUCAAUCAAAAGGUUAGAAAAGAUGAUCUAAUUAAUGCUACUUCGCAUCACCGAUAAACUUUCCAAAUUUCCGACAGUGUAAAGAUAUGCUGCAGGAAGAAAAAGUAAAGUACAAAUUUAUCUCUUAACAGCACACUUCAAUUUAAUGUAACAAGUUCCUGAAAAAAUGAGGAAAGGGGAUUUGAUCUUAUGAUUCGCAGAAUCCUAUUUGCCGUAAUUGAAAUCCACCAAAUUCAAGGAAAACAUCAAAAGAAAUUUGAAGCCUACAGGAAGUCUUAAUUUUAAAACUAUUCAACUUUCAUGUCCAUCUUCCUUGCAGGUAAAAUCUACUAAAAAUGAUACAUGCUAUAUGAAUAUGUAAAAGCAAAAAUACCAAUUAGGGACAAUGACCUUAAUACUAUAUAUUAUAAACUAAAUUUGUUCCUCCUCAUGCCAUUAAAAAACACAACUAAGUACAGAAUAAAUUUUAUUGAACCUAUUUACUAAUAAAACACAAGAUGAUGAUGACAAGAACUAUCCGAAGUAUAUGAAGUGCAUCAAUUACAUUAAUCUUUCAAUUAAUUAUACAAGUCAAACAGAAAACAGAGAAGAAAAACCUAUGCAAAAACUAUUAAUAACGGGGAAUUGAAACUAUUCAUUCAUAUCAACAAAACCUGGUUAUUCAUUAACAGAACAUAUUAAACAAAUACUGUUUCAUAUUAAAAUACCACGAUUUUUAACCUCUUCUACAUCAACAAAAAAGGUUCCCUUUUUUUAUUUUUACUUUUUUCACGUCCAAACAGGGCACGACAAUUGAAACUAACCAAUUCGAAAACAACAAAAUAUGAACUUUGGGCUUAUAAAUCAAACGAAAGGAACAAAACAAACUGAUUCAAAACCCACCACAAAAAAAAAAAAAAAGAAAAAAAAAGACCAACCUUUUCUCUUCCACGUAAAACGCCUCGGUGGGCUCUGGAAAGAUCGCGAAAUACGCUUCAAGAUCGCACCUUUCGACGAUUUCGUACACCACAAACCCAAAAAUUAAAAGGAACCGCCACCAAUUGAGGUCUCUCUCCAACAGCAGCGAAAACGCAGCUCCCACUUUUAGAGACCUUGCACGCAAAACAAAAGCUCCCUCGCUUCCUCUCGGUUUUUCGCUUUGUUCCCACUUUUCCCGGGGUGGUGAAUUGCGAUGAUGAUCGAAAGCGAAAGGAAUAAAUAAAGGAAGAGAAAGAGAAAGAGAAAGAGAAUCGAGAGAGAGAGAAUCGAGAGAGCGAGAGAGAGAGAGGGAGAAUGGGGAGGACCCCAAAAGCCCAAAUGGGCAAAGGCACGGGAUUGGGCUAUUGUUGGGAAACUAUGAAAGUGAGGUCGAAGGAGCAGGGGAAUGGGAUUAUGAAUCCUCUCACAAUUUCUUCUUUUUUUUUUUCUCUUUUCCCACUGUUCGCUUUUAUAGGGUCAGGAAAAGGUUUUGGAAAAUAAUUUAGUAAAGUAAUUGAGUAGCAAAGGAAUCCAAGAAAAUAAUUGAGUAGUUCAAUUCAAUGCGUUGAAUAAUUUAUGGUAAACGUAUUUAUCCUCCGAUUUUAAACAAUUUACGUAUUCUUCAAAAACAUUUUACGCGGUCACAAAAUAAAUGAGUAAGAAUCAAACUUUCUAAUGACUGCUAAGCUCUAAAUUAAUAAGCAUUAAUGUAUUUCAUUAACUUCUAAUUUUUCUUUUUAAGAUGCAUGAUAGCCAAUGAAUUUCGGUAGAAUUGAAUAUUAAGAAAAAUCAAAUAUACAAAGUAACCAAUUUAGAUACACUCAUACAUUUGAUUGUUAGCAUAGGUAAUUAGUGAUCAUAUUAUUUGGAUCUAAUCUACAAUUUUGUAGAGUGACAAAUCAAAUUGAAUUCAGUGCAUAAUUUUAUUUUUUUUUUUUGAGUAUUUUCACUUGCCAUUCUCAAUUUUAGGCAUCUUUUCAUAUUUCUUAUAACAAAAGUUCUUUUUUUUUUUAAAAAAAAAAAAGAAGAAUCCAAAAGAGAAACUUAAAUACAUACAUUUCAACUCUUUGUUUUACAUACAAAGGCAGUUAACAAGUCAACUCCAUCGAUAUGGGACAAAAAUUAUAAGUUUUGGAUCCUACAUUUGACCACUAUAUUCUUUUUUCCAAACAAAAUCGAAAUAAAAUGUCUAAGUAUAAUUUAUAUAAUUUUUUUUUUACAAAACCAAAAUAAUUUUCUAGAUUUAGAUUAAUUGCACUCUAACCACACAAACACUCACACACACAAAAGAAAAAGAAAGAAAACAAAAGAACACGAGAGUAUAGGAUUUGAAUUGGGCCUAUUACGGAUCUUACCCGAAUCCGAUCCACUGCUUGAAAAAUUGAUUAAUAAUUCAGAAAAAUAGGCAAAAACGUGUGAUUGGUUGAGGCAAAGUCAAAGGAGGGACCUCAUUCGCUGGUCCACAUGGUCCAGCAUCCGUGAUGCAUUUAACCCGACACGUGUCAUUACGUGGACACGCGUGAUGAGUUGGCAAUCCAAGUUACUGCUACCAAUAGUGUAAAGGUCGUGAUUGGGAUUCUUCUAGAUUACAUCUUUUAUUAUUUAUUCCUUUACUUUUCAAAAUGCUUUAGUUAUGCUUUAGUUCGUUUCUAGUUAAGCAAAAAAUUUACCUAUGUAUUACAAAAAAAAAAAAAAAAAAAAAAAACAUAAAUUUCUUUAUAGGUUACUCUAUGAUAUUGGUAUGUUUGCUAUACAAACUCACCAGCGGAAUCAAAUACUUAGGGUUUUUUUUGCAUUUAGACCCCUGACAAAUUUUUAUUUUAAAAAUAGCCCUGUUAAAAUUUAAUUUGCAAAAAUGGCCCUGGGCUUGCCACGCAGGCGCCACGUCAGCGCCACGCGGGCAGGGCUGGGCUCGUGUGUUAAGUUGAACACGGCAAACCAUUCACCGUGUUUAGACACGGUGAAUGAUUCACCGUGUUCAACUUAAUACCCUGGCCCCAGCCCUGCCCACGUGGCGCUGACGUGGCGCCUGCGUGGCAGGGAUAGGGCCAUUUUUGCAAUUUUAAUUUUGAUAGGGCUAUUUUUAAAAUAAAAAUUACUCAGGGGGCUAUUUGCAAAAAAAGCCCAAAUACUUAUAAUAAAACAUGAGAAAUAUUAGAAAAUACGUUGAAUGUCUAGCUUGAAAAAGAAUUAUUAUUAGGAAUUACUAUUUUAAUGGCUCGUAGCACCCAACGCUGUGCUAAGAGAAAAGCAAAGAGCAAAUGGUUGAACUCAGUUUAAUUAAGGCAUCAAAGUUAAUUAGGAGUUGCGAAAUAUACACAUUUGCACAUGUAGUUUAGCUGCUUGUUUCUGUUUUUUUUUUGAGAAAAGUAACACGCUAUCUGCUUCAUUCAUUGAAAAUAUGAAUUAGACUACAAGGGUGGGACAACGAAGGCCCCGAGGAGAACGUGAAAAAAAAUAUCCCUUAUAAGGAUUGAAGGGUACCUUUCUACUUUGAUCUUCAAUUACAGUAUAAUAGGCCCACUGUAGAUACUAAAGAUUAGUGUUGAAANGGCUGUAGCAGAUUUUUUUUUUAUAGCUAAUCAUAUGAUUAGUCCCACUAACACAGUUGCUUUGGGUAUAAAGAUCACUUAUCUAUACAUUAUUUAACCUUAGAACAUACUUUCAAUUUAUCCUUAAAAUAUACAGGAAUAUCCCUUAUAAGGAUUGAAGGGUACCUUUCUACUUUGAUCUUCAAUUACAGUAUAAUAGGCCCACUGUAGAUACUAAAGAUUAGUGUUGAAAAAAAAAAAACAAAAGAAAAGGAUCACUGUUCCAUCUCUCUUUUUUUUUUUUUUUUUUUUUUUUUUCUAUCUAAUGCCUACAAAUUAAGCUAGUACGUACGUAGGCCCAUAUAUACAUAGUUAUCUAUGAAGGUUGUACAGCAAAUAUCUUUAUACUGAGAUCAAAGGAAUUACAUAGAGUUUAAUAUUUAUAAUAAUAAUUAAUAUACUCACGCAACGGUUUCAUAAUCAGAAUACACAGUUAAUUAUAAGAUCAUUAACUAAUGUCCAGUGAUUAUCAAGUUGUACUCUCUCUCUCUCUCUCUCUCAUCUGAAAAUGAAAUCUCAGCCUUAUGUAGAAAUUAGGUGAGGGAGACGAUCGACCCACCAACCAAACAAAGGGUGUACUUAAUUAAUUUCUAAUAAAAUCAGAAUAUUAUAUACUUAAUUUCUCAAAUGUUGCUUCCCUAUGGUGACCACAAGAUAAGCAUCAAAUUAGCAUCGCAUGGACCUUGCAUGAUAUAUAUAAUUUUUGUGGGAGAUGAGAUUCUUCUUAAUUAGACCAAGUACUAAUUAGUCUCCUAAGCCCAGUAAUAUAGAACUUAACUAAUUCUUUCGCAUAGGACGUGCGUUUGAUCCACCAAACUCACCAACUUCACCCAGUCCUCAAAAAACAUUUCGAGAGAAAUAAAAAAAAUAUGUGACAUGCAUGCAUUGGCGCAAUGAUGAUUAAUUAUCUCUCCUUUAAUGAGAUUGAUUGGACGCAAUUUAAGCUAAGUUAGUAUUUGCACUAAAUUUAACUCAAUGCAGAUUGUAUAUAAAUUAAAGCUUAUUGGGGAAAUAAAUUAAUUAAGCAGUCUAAAGAAUCUUAUUCACUUAAUCAUCCUUGUGCUUUUUCUUUGUAUAUAUAAUGAUAUUUUUUAUGUAAAUUAAUCAUCUUUAUUCCUCAAUUAUGACAUGCAACCAACUUCCAAUUUAGUUAACGUCCCUUUUCGAUGCUUAACUGUGAGUGCGACAUAUAUAUAUGAAAUGGUUUAGCAUCAGAAUAUCUAUCAAUCGUAAUGAACUAGUUAAACCAUCCCCCCCUAUUGAUCAUGACCUUAAAUUCAUGAGCUACAACACAAGACAAUUACAAGUUACAACUACACAUACAAUGGCCGAACAGAGCCUGGUCAACCCAUCGGGUGUUAUGAUCAAUUUAUAGACACAUGAUGAACCAACUUGACCACACCAUAAGUUCCUGAGCAGGUCGGAAACAUGGCAUGCCAAUCUAUAAUGAUGGUUCGGGUGUUAAAAGGCGGUAACUUGAUGACUAAUAUGAUGGCAACCAACUAUUACUUUUCAAAGAGAAAGAUAGCAACUUAUCUGCUUAGUUUUCUUUUGUUUUUUAAAAAUAAACCUAGAUAGAAAUGUGAAGCAGCAAUGUUUCCAACUUCCAAUCUCAGAUAUCAACCAUAAAGUUCUUAGCGAACUGUUCUAGGUACGGUCGGGCGGCAACUAACUAUUAUUGAAUUUAAAGAUUUAAUAUUUCAAUUUAAAAUCUUAAUUCCAAAAGUUUUAAUUUUUGGAUGGAAGUUUAAAUUUUAAAUUUUAAAUUUAAAUUUAAUUUUAAAAUGGGAGACCAAGUAUUAACUCUUUUUGGUCCAGUUGCUUUAUUGAAAAUGCUUAGAUUAUGGGCCUGGGCCUAAAUUCCUUCGGGUCAAAUUUAAGCCAUAUCCAGCUAAAGCCCGAGCUUCUCCCCAUCUAGCUCGAUGGGCUUUUAUGACUCAAAUUAGUGGGUUCGGGUUCGGACCCUUCCGGAUCCGACUCAGUCCAACGAGUCUCCCCGAUCUCACGACCCAAAUUAUCGGAACAAUUUGCGGCGAAGAGCACGUACAGCUGUCCCAUUUGAUCCACCGUUCGUUUCCGUACGGACGGAUUGGAUUACUACACCUAUUGAUGCUUAUUUGGCACCUGAUCUCACAGAUAUAUUACAAUUACAAUUAAUUAAUAGGACGAGGUCGGAUUCGUUUCUCUCUCGGAGUUGAGGAGAGGGAGAGAGAGAGAGAGAGAGAGAGAGAGAGAGAGGAGGGAAUGGAGGGUUUCGUCCUCUUCGUCUCUUCUUCUCGAUCCUUCUCCUCCUCUCCCUAUUUUUCCUCUCAGAUUUCGUGGCUCUAGGGCUUCGCGAUUCGUAAGGUGGUUUCCUCCUUUUCGAUCUUAUUGUGGAACAAAUAUAGUGAUUCGAUUGUCGUAGCUUGAUCUGUAAGCAUAUAGUUUUGAUUUGUAAUAUUUAACUCUCAAUAUGUUUCUUUUUUUUUUUGCUCUGAAUUUGCGGUCAAAGUAGUUUCGUGUGUUUGUACGCUUCGAUCGAUUUAAUUGUGUUUAAUUUGGUCAGUUUAGCUCUUAUUUUUUGUUUACUGUUUAAUAUUAGUCGGGUUAAGGUUGCAAGUUUUAUGAGUUGUUUGCGGAAAACUAGGUGCUAUAAAGGACUAAAUUCGACUAAAUUCUUCGCUAUAUAUACUAUUGCAAAUUAUGUACUUUAUUACAUUCCUCAAGCUUGCUUUUUGUUUAGGAUUUAUAGUUUUUCCUCUUGUUUCGUAGUAAUCUGUAGAAAUAUGGCCUUAAAAGUUUUUUUUUUUCCCGCUGGUUUUACAACUUAUAGUGUUUAUUGCCUUCCUGUUAUGUUGAUUUGAUUUUAAACCUAUCAAUUUUGUGCCAUUUGUUUUGUUUUCCUAGUUGGGAUAAGAAUUGUGAUGAUGAAUGGUCAUCUUUUUCUAGAUUAACCAUUAUACUUAAUGUGGAAAAGUUAGGCGGUGAGCUAGGUAGUAUUUUAGCCAUAAUUACUAUGGAGAAAUUAUGCAACCGCCUUAGUUUAACACGCUACAUGUGGCAUGCCCAUUUGUUCUAGGCAAGCCAACCAAAGAGUGACUUUUUUGUAAAUUAAUGAUUCUUGUCAUUUUUGAUUGCUAUGCUUUGAUGACCCUAAGGUGUUAAAAAGAGAUGGUUUGUAGUGUCUCUGUUGAUCGUUGUUAGACCCGGAGCUUCCUGUUGAGUUUAUUUAGAAAGCGUAGCGUCAGAACGAUGAAUUUAAACAUUGAAAAACAAUCGAGAAGAUUGGAAUUGCAUUCUCUUGUGGCUUGUUCGGAUGCUAUAACAUUUUAUUCUUCUUGGAUACUUAAUAAGCCUUUAGUAUUUGGUUCUUGAAAGCAUGAGAAAAUAUCUUUUAGCAAAAGGGUUGUAGUGGUCGUAAUAUUUCCGGAUGAGUCCAUUACAGAUUAAAUUGGAGGGGUGGCAUUCACUGUCCUGAAAAAUCAAUAUUCCUAAUGCUUCAAAAUGUACUGAAAGUGAAAUUCCCAUGCUAAAAUUACCAUAGGAGACCCUAAUCAAACACAAGUUAUCACUAUACAGCUUAUUUCAGCAUCUAAACUGGCCCUACAAUGAGAAAAAGUUCGUGUUUUAGGAGUUAAUCUUUCUUUUCUACUUCACUACUAGAUGCAUUGUAUAUAAUUAGUUUUAACAAUUGACAUCAAGAAGCAGUUUUUGCCCCCUGCCCUAUGAUGAUGUUCAAGCUGUAAAUCCAAUCCCUUAAUAUCUAAUAUAUUCUCGGAUUUGCGGUUGUUUAUUCAUUAUGCAGGAUUUGUCUCUUGGACCAUUUGUUUAUCUGUUUACUAUUACAAAUCUUGUAAGAUCAUUUAUUCACUAGAAUUUCUCCUUUCAGUUUCAUUCUUUUCCUGAGAAGCUCUUUGCGAUAAGACUAAUCCUUAAAUCCUUUUCUCAGGUUGCGUAGUUUGGCUGCUGAUUGGAUAUAACCCUCCCCUGAGAUGUCCUCUUAGCAUGCUAUACUUUCCCAUACCACAAUGUGGCGAUUUGGUUCUCAUGCCAUAGCAAGAAAUAUAGGCCCAAAGUGUGGCUUGUCAAAACCACGCCCGACCAGCCCAGAUUGCUCUGACGAUGAUGUAUCCCCAUGCGCGACGAGAGAAGAAGCGCUUGAGUGCCCAAUUUGCUGGGAAUCCUUUAAUAUCGUGGAGAACGUGCCUUACGUUCUAUGGUGCGGCCACACCCUUUGCAAGAACUGUGUGUUAGGGCUUCAAUGGGCCGCCAUGAAAUUCCCAACUUUACCCAUCCAAUUACCACUUUUCAUUUCAUGCCCCUGGUGCCAUUUACUUUCAUUUCGACUUAUAUAUAAGGGUGAAUUGAAGUUCCCAUGCAAGAACUACUUUUUGCUGUGGAUGGUUGAGAAUAUGAACGGUGAUAGGGCGAAGCGCCAAGAGGAUUGGCCAUCAAAUAGCUCAGUCCAGGGAAGCUGUUCUCUCCACCGCGACAAUUACACCGUGGUCCCUCAACAUCUCCACAACAAUCACUCACUCUUCGACACUAGUCAUGCCGAACACUUCAGCAUGGAGAGGAUAUACUCGUCUCUUCAGAAAUCGCUGGUUCUUUUUGUUCAUCUCACUUCGAAGUUCCCUCUAGUGGUCAUAUUCCUCCUCAUCAUUUUAUAUGCAAUACCCGCAAGUGCUACCAUCUUGGCCCUGUAUAUGCUUGUCACUAUACUCUUUGCAGCGCCUGCUUUCUUGAUUUUAUACUUUGCGUACCCUAGUUUGGAUUGGCUUGUCAGAGAAAUCAUCACAUAAUAUGUGCUGUUAUUUAUUGCCACGCCUUGUAGGGUUUGGGCAUCUUCUAGUGCCUGUGCUGGGGUCACCGUGAACUAUUGUAAUAUAUACGACAGCAAUGUCUUUCCUGAUUGAACUGAUGUUUGCGAUGUACACUUAAAAGGGUUUGCAUAGUGUACAUGUAUAUGUUUGCUCUUUUAAAAUGUCGGCAUACGAAUAGUUCUUCUUACUCUGUUUUUUUUUGGUGGUUUUAAGUUGCAGUCAAAUAUUUCAGACUUUCUUAUUGUCGGGAAUCUUUUCUCCUUUUCUCUUUUCUCUUUUCUGAUCCUGCAUUUUGAUUUUGCUAAAACAAAAGAUUCUGCAUAAAGAUAGUAUUGAAUUGAUUGUGUGUAGUAGCUUCCUACAUGCUUUGUGCCCUUUUCAGGUUUUGUCCUUGAACAUUUCUCCUUCUAUGUGGUCCGUUUUAUGAAUUAUGUUGAGCUUGCAAAUAAAUCUACACCAUACAGUUGCACGAUUGAUCUGCCAAUUAAUUAUGGUUAUAUGUGCAUGUUAUAAAAUAAUCUAAAAAUUUGUUUUUAAGGAUAGAAUUUCGCUUUCCUGCCUACCUCUUCGGUGCUUUUAAGAUUGAAUAUUAACUUAUUACUAUUUUUCGCUUAUAGAAUGUGAGAGAUCUCUCCAGAAGAUUAUCCUUAUCACCUUUCAUUUUGUUACUCUAAAAAUGGGUAGUUUGUCAUACUAAUUAUAAGCUAGGCAUGCUGGAGCUAUCAAGAUAAGUUGGCUUUAUGAAUUGCGUAUGUUGGAACAAACAUUUCUCUUUCUAUGAGGUAUGCUGGAGCCAUCAAGAUUAUAAACGUAACCUAAUUGAAAUAAAAAAACAGCAAAUAGCAAUCAAGUACAGUAAUUCCCAAGCAUCUGAUAAUGGCCCAACAUUUAGAAAUUGAUGAAUAGUUCUGCACAAUUUUCCCGAUGAUGUCUCGGAGAAAGACACCUUUGAGUGCUGUCACAUCAAACGAGAAGGCACUUCAAUAAUGUGAGCAAAUUAAUUAAGACAACCAAUAUUGCAAUACCAGUUUUGUGAAAGAAUCGUUGUACUCUAAAAAUUUGAGCCGUUAAAAAAUAAUAUUUUAGAUAUUUUUAUAUUUCACGUUCCCUCUCACGUACGAGCUCAAGAUUUUUUAACCGGCCUAUAAUAUAGGCUUGAAUUAAAUGAAAAAAAAUUAAUAUGAUAGGAGCCUGACGUGACUUGAACUCAAAAUUCAGAAAAUUAAUAUACUAGGAGCCUGAUGUGACUCGAAUUUAGGACCCAGAUAAUUAAUAUACUAGAACCCUGACAUGACUCGAACUCGGGACCCCUGUUUUGAUACCAUGUGAAAUAAUAGUUGUACUCUAAAAACUAAAUCUGUUAGAGAACACAGUUUAUAUAUUUUUUAGUUAUAGUUAAUUAUGUUAGAAGCUUGGAAUGGCUCAAACUCAGGACCUUCUAUUUUGAUACCACGUGAAACAACUUUAUACUCUAAAAGUUUAAACGGUUAGAGAACGGUAUUUUAAAUAUUUUUAUAUUUAACAAGGUUAAGGUUGUAACAAUCUUGCUAAAUAGUGAAUUAACGUUUGCUCUUUUGCACAUGUAAAAUAUGUUUAUUAUUACAGCUUUUAAUGUGAGAAAAUUACUCGUUCAGGUGGGGGAACAAAAAAAGAAGUGAAAAAACUACAACUGUGGGUUCGUCUAUAAUGUUGUUGCAUAGUUUGGGAGCAUGCUGAGACGUGAAGAUUACGCAUCAUCAUGCCAUAUGCACGUCUCACUCCUCCACGCACUAGUCACAUAAUUACGAGCCUCAAAAUGCGCUUAAGAACCCAACAAAAUGAUUUAAAUCGGAAUCAAACCAACAAAUGUUAUCGGCAUGUGCAUGGCUCUUGUUAAAUGAAAGCACCAUGUUGUGAAAAAGUUUAAAGUACUGAACCCAUAAAAACAGAGGUAUACGUAAUUAUAUAUGACUGCAAUUUAUAACUUAUCCUAGCAAUUGGCAGCGUAAUGUCUAAUAACAUGGAGCAAAAAUAUUAUUUGAGUAGAACUAUUAAACAAACAUUAAAAAUCUUACUCAUUGCAAUUUGUCAAAAGCUUCCAAAAGUAAAAAUUUCGAACCCUAAAAGUUUGCUUCAGCUUCUGGCCACAAUAAAAGCUUAAUUUUUUUUUCCCUCUCCAAAUAUUUAUUAAAAGUCAAGUCAAACAAACUCUACCAAUGAAAAAGUAACUUAAACCUCAAAUAAUACAACCUCAACUUUGAGUGAAUUAAUUAUAGAAAAGAAAAGAUUGCACCAGUGGAUACCCAUUGAUUGGCUCCUAGUGUUUACAGGAUUUGCCCUGCAUAAUGUUAAGCAGUACAAAAAGGAGUUAGCUGAAACUUUUGAGAGUCUAAAGCAACUUGGGAUGAUAAAAAGGAAAAGUAAUGGAGCAGUGAGAGACCAAAAAACAUGAUCACUAACUCCACUGAUCCUGCUGCGUUGUCCCUUGCAUGGACGCUUCCCAUGGCUUCAAGAAGGGGCAACCUAAAGUCAAUCAAGAGACGAAGCAAUGAUUAUUAUUCAUGAAACAAGUAAAUUUUCUUCAAAGUAUUGAAAAUUAUUCUAAGGGCCAAAAAAAGAAAAAGUAUUGGGUUUACGUGUACUAUGUUUUGAAAUGGUUAUCUGAACUCCGAAAAUUUUGAUUUCACUACUUAACCUUACAGCAUAUUAGAUUUCAGUAUAUUUCUAUCGUAAUUUAAAAAUAACUACAGCAUUUUAGGUUUUUCGAUGGAAUAUUUUGCAAUCUAAAGUCGAAAGGAAUUUUCUAUCAGAAUUUAAAUAUAACUUAGCUUCUUUUGGAAUUUGUGAAAAUUCUGUGAGGAACUUUCUAAAAUCAAAAGGAAUAUCAGAUUAGAUAGUGAAAACAAGCACAGUAUCCAUUUCAAAAUGCACUAAAGUUCAGGUAAGCUCUAACAUUUUUACCAUAACUGAGCAAGAACAAGAAUUGCUCAAUCUUGCUGAAAAACAAAUGAAGAGUAUGAGAAGUACUCCAUAUAACACGGACGCAGAGAAACAGGUAAGAAAACUUGAAUGACGUGUUUCAAACUCAGUUCAACAGAAAAGAAUUGUAUUAUCUAAUUUACCUAGCUAGCUAUAGCUAAUAAAAAGCAGCACAUCUUGGAUACACUGUUCUAACAGUGAAAAGUUGGAAGAGGUUACCGUGUAUCACCUUGAUGACUGCUGUAAACAACAUUAGAUUUCAAAGAAAGAUGCAAGUGCUCAUCGAGUAGACACACUAACUAUUUGCUUUAACUAUGCAUAAGCACAAGCUCAUUAUGUAACUCCAACUUCCCAACAGAAGCACACAUUGUACCACGUACAAAAAUAGUCUUUGAAAGGGAAAUAUUCAUUGCACAGACAUAACUGACACUAAUUGCCCGUCAUUCAAUUAAUAUUUAAGUCCCAACUCUCAUGCAGCUACAGAGGAAAGCAGAACGACUUGUCGGUCAGAUUUCCCAAUGCUGUCACUGUAUUUAGUUCUCAAAAAAAAAAAAAAAAAAAAAAACAACUUCAAUUAUGUAAGUUUCUUAGUCUAUGAUGGUUGUACAACACCAAUUUCCUUUUGCUUGACACUUAAUUUAGUCCAGUCACAUUCUCAAUUACCCAUAGUAAAGCUAGGCUUAAAAUGACAGCAAAAAAAAAAGUUAGAAAGCUAAAUGAUUGACAUAGCACAUGAUAGGUACAUAGAUCACUAGUGUAGAUUUCUCUUUGUUAAUCCUCUCAUUAUCAAUUGUUUCCCAGAGAUAUGUCCUUACAUCCUACCAUAUCUCAUGGUGCACAUGAGGCCUUUAUAUUACCCUUCCAACCUACUGUAUCUUGUGGUGCACAUGCGACCUUUUAUUUUAAGCUUAGCUCAUCAUCUAUAUAUCUCAUGAACCAACCCACACUAACCAACAUAAGGUUUGCUCCAAAGGGAAAAGGAGGGAAAAAAAAUAUGGUCUCAGAGAAGAGGCAACCCAAGCAUGUAUGUGUUAUUGGAGCAGGGCCUGCAGGCUUGGUCUCAGCGAGGGAGCUAAGGAAAGAAGGGCACUCGGUUGUAGUAUUGGAGCAGAAACAUGAUAUUGGUGGGCAAUGGCUAUAUGAUCCAAUAGUAGAGAUUGAAGAUGCCUUAGGUAGAAUCACUCCUUUAAAGGUUCAUAGCAGUAUGUAUGCCUCGCUUCGACUUAUGUCACCUAGAGAGGUGAUGGGCUUUACUGACUUCCCUUUCUUCACAAAGAAAGGAAGGGAUAUGCGAAGAUUUCCUGGCCACAGAGAAGUGUAUUUGUACCUUAGGGACUUUUGUCAAUGGUUUGAAUUAAGGGAGCUAAUAAAGUUCAAUACAAGAGUCGAGUAUGUGGGCAUGGUGUAUAAUAUAGAAUUUGGAAGCGAUAUGAAGUGGGUUGUUAGAUCUAAAGAGGAGAAAUGUGAAACGGUCAAUGAGGAGAUCUUUGAUGCAGUUGUUGUGGCUAGCGGACAUUAUUCUCAGCCUACGAUGCCAACCAUCAAAGGUAAGUUCUUCCUUUCAUUCAUGGGAUAUUACCUAAUUUAGCUUUCAGAAAAGAAGCCACAUUAGAUCGGCAGAUAGAAGAUAAAACGCAUGGCUCAUCAUUCUAGACUACAAGCUCAAUAGAACUAAUGAGAAAUAAUAGACACUAACCGCUUCUUAAGAUGAAGAUUUAAAAAUUUUGUCAACAUGAAAGUCACUAACAGUAUAAAGUGAAUGUCUCAUUAAGGUGCUGACAAUAUCUUUUGCUCUCUUCUGCAGGAAUCGAUACCUGGAAAAGGAAUCAGAUACAUAGUCAUGUGUAUAGAGUUCCUGAACCCUUUCGCAACGAGGUUGAGAAAAUCUUUCUCACAGUAUAGAUAUAUAUAUAAAUUCCUUAAUAUUUUACGGACUAAAAUUUUUACCCUAUCUUUCUUCUCACACAACAAGUGAGAUGCAUGAAGGUUAUUUCCAAUAGGAAACAUAGAUCAACCAGCUAACUGGUAUUAAUUUCUCUUCCAAAUGAUAAACAGGUUGUCGUGAUUGUUGGAGGCUCAUUUAGUGGUCAGGACAUAUCACUUGAGCUAGUUGAUGUAGCGAAAGAAGUCCAUCUUAGUGUUAAAUCCCUCGAACUAUCAGAGGGCUUGACCAAAGUCAUUACCAAGUAUCAGAACCUUCACCUACAUCCACAGGUAUUCUUACUACAGCUUCAUGGCUAAACAGCUCCAUGCGUUUGCAGUGUCUAAAUCAAGCCACUCCUGCAAUCAUAUGGAUAGUUUAGACAUGUCAAGUUUGAUCAAUGUCACCAACCUAAAUCACUAUUCAACUAUAAAAAGAAUGAUUGAAGCUAGUAUUGUCAUUAUGUGAGUGCAGAUAGACAAUUUGUUUGAAGAUGGACGAGUUUUAUUUAUCGAUGGUUCAUGUGUGGUUGCUGACUCAAUAAUUUAUUGUACAGGGUGAGCCCUCCCGGAAUAGUGUAGAAUGCAAAUAAGCAGAUCGGUACCUUAAAUUUCAGCUGUUACAUUCAGCUUGUUGGUGUUUUGCCGGAUUGAUAACUCAUUGCUGUCCUUUGAAGGUAUUCCUAUUCAUUUCCAUUUCUUGACACCAAAGGCAUAGUUGUGGUGGAUGAUGGUAGAGUGGGACCUCUCUAUGAGCACACUUUCCCCCCAUCGCUUGCUCCAUCUCUCUCAUUUGUGGGCAUUCCAAAAAAGGUAAGCUUCUUCCUUCUUUCAGAAAAUAAAGAGUCGUCAUAUCCAGCAGAAAUCAGUCGACAUAUAGAUGCUUUUUUUUCUGAUUAAAUCAGAUCUAACAUCCUAACUACUAGCUUCAGAUGCAUUUUUAGGAUUAAAUUGAAACAAAAAUAAUAGGUCUUGAUUUUGAACUUGAUCAAAGGUCUCUCGAGUACUCGAACAAACAUAUUUCAAGUAUUAACAAUUUUAUGAGUUGAUGUUGCAGAUUCUGGGGUUCCCUUUCUUUGAAUCACAAGCAAAAUGGAUUUCUCAAGUUCUUUCUGGUAGAAGGACACUUCUAUCACGGGAUGAUAUGAUGAAGUCCCUUGAGGAGUUCUAUCACUCAAGAGAAAUUGCAGGGAUACCAAAGCACUGUACACAUGACAUUGCAGAUUUUGAUGUAACGGCAAUUAUUCACUACUUAAUGCUAUUCUCAAAAAUAUUUAGUACAUUUUUAAGAUUAAGAUCAAAAGCAGCAGCUACAAUGUAGACAGAUCGCUAAGACCAAAGGAAAGGUUUCAUGUUAGGAUCGACACUACUAAAGAAUACUUUGACAUUUUUAUUCAAUUAUGAAAUGCAAAACAGCUACUGGUUGUUUAUUUCUAGUUAGGUUUACUGCCAUUACUUGCCACCUGGAAGUAUGGACAUAAAUGACUUGGAAUUCAAAAGUCAAAUACCACUGAAGAGAAGUCAAAAGCUCAUUAGGAAGCAUUUAGAUAAGUCAAUAUAGAUCAUCAGUCAGGAAAAUAGUCCAUACACCACCUUUGCAAUUUUAGAAGUAUAGAAUCUACAACUAGCAUUAAAAUCUGCCCAAUUUAUUCAAUUCGCUUCUUUUCAGUUUUGCUUGUAUGUCUUGACAAAACCCAAGUCCUGACAGAACGCUCUAGUCGUUGUUCCUCAGCUUCUUCACUGGCAGGUGCUCAAACUGUCUCACCACUUCUAUGCUUGGAAAUCACUAAAUUGUUCAAUCUUUUCUCUUUUAAAAUCAUAAAUAAUAUUUCUCUAGGUUUUUACAUUUGCCACUAGUUGAAUACUAAUGAUACCAAACUUCUUAGUAAGCUAGUAUAAGAUGGAGUGGCCAGAUUACUAGGAAGUAAUCUACCGUACCUUAAAUGAUAGCUCUCUAGCGUCAUCUAGGCAGUUAAAUGAAGAUGUAGUAUUUGUUAUUUACUUCUUCCUCAAGUAAUGUACCAAGAAUCAUAAGCAAACCCUUAAUCUAACAAGGUCGUCACUCUCAUUUUUCCUUUUCCAAUGGCAGUACUGUGAUAAAUAUGGUGAUCACUGCGACUUCCCACACUUGGAAGAUUGGAGGAAAGUGCUCUGCAUUACAGCUCUUCGUAAUUCCAUCAUGAAUUUGGAGACUUAUCGUGAUCAGUGGGAUGAUCACAUUGAUGAAUUGCUUCAGGAGACCCUCGAGAGCCCACACUUCACACAGCUAGACCCCGAAGCCAUUCCUUCAUAAACACCCAUCAUGCUAAUGGGUUGUUCUCAUUAAGUUAUUUCAUCCUUAUUAUGUUUAUUUAAGCAAGUGUGUAUUAAGGAUCAAGUUAAACUACCAAAAAGUAAGAUCAUAUAAGAAGAACAAAACUGUCAUGAAGAAACAGUUUCAUAAAUAUUCAGAAUCAUGUCUUGUAUAUUGGUAGAGCGGAUGCCAAGAUUAGAAUGUUGAACAUUCAAAUUCCUUUUAUCUUACCAGUUAAGCGAUGCAUAUUUUUGUGCUUUAUUGGUCGAUACAACUUACUCAUUGUAAUCAAUAGGAAAACGCUCAAGACACAAGUAUCAUUAAAUUUAUGAGACCCUCUAUGUCUUUUAAGCCAUAGUUUAUAGAUAAACUACCAAGAAAAAUGGGUAAAAAAAUGAAAGGAAGAUACUGUUGGAAAAUUUUGUUACGAAUGGUGCCUCCUGCGUGGUUUCAGAACUCCUAUUUCAUGCAAAUAGAAACAAACACAUAAAUAUGUAACAACAAGGGCUUCCUGCUGCAAGACACCAUGGUAGAUCAUAACAAGCAGAUAGGCUCGCAGUACACCAUAGUAGACGAUAUACAAACAGAUAGGCAUAAGCUUCCCAAAAUAUAACUAGCAUGAAAGUGAUCCCUGCUGAAAAGAAAAGAAAAAAAGUAGUGAAAUGCAUAUGACCUUAGAUCAUUGCUCACUCGGCAUGAAAUCAAGCUCCACGUCACUUGAAUGAGAUGCAUCACUGGUGAAGCUUUCAUUGUACUCGACACUUGUAACGCCCUCAAAUGUUCCAUGCUCAGGCUUCACGCGCCGGACCGGAAUCGUCACAGAGUACAUGGUACCCAAGUCCGCAUCCACUGAGAGACUUAGCUGAACUGUAUCUUGUGACUCUAUUUCGACAAAAUCUGACAAAGCUUCAACAAUAUUCUUCACAAUCUUUUGCUCGGCAUCGUCACUAAGAGCUCAUCUAUCUGAGAAAAGGAUCAUUUUAAGUCUCUGCUUUGCAAUCUUCGCAUUAGAGUGCUUCCUCUCUGCAGUUGUUGGAAAUAAUAUCCUCCAAGCUAGGCUCAAUCGCUCAAUGAAAUUCAUGGUAGCAGCAUUUAGAAGGAACUCGUCGUUAUUAUGAUCAACAGUUAAUGUAGAUAUCUCAUUUUGUUUCCUUGCGAAACACCGAUAAUUAUUGGGUUUUGAGACACAAUUGAAAGUUGCUCUGUGCAACCAUUUGGGUGUGAUCUCACAAGUGUUUACUCCUCGAGUGAAAGAACCCAAUAAUGUUUUGAGUCUGUAAAGGAAACAUAAACAUAACAAUAGUAAGUAUUUAAAGACACUUCAAAUCUAUCCCUUUUAUCAAGUACUAGAUAAAGCAAAUAAAAGCUAUGUAUCCAUGUAGCUUGUUACAAUCUAUCGAAUGUCUAUUCAGUCACAGAGUAGAUGAAGCUCAGGAUUCGCAGUGCAAAAUCUCAUUGCCUUAUUUGAGAUUUCAGAGAUUAUAUUUAGAGAAAGAAAAGGCUGGAAUUCACGUGAGGCAAUUUCUUUCUCAUAUCUCGGGCGCUGAUAUUUGUAAUCACUUACAAUUUUAAAUGCAUGAUGUAGAGAUUAAGCAAAUUUUACCACAUCAUCUUGAAGUCGUAUACUUUUAUACCGGAGCAUUUGAAGCAAAAUUAACAGCAUUAUCAGCAAUUCAAUACUUACGAAAUCAAAGUAUUAGGAUCUCGAUCAAUUUAUCAAACUGCUCAAGAAUCCAACAACAAAUUAAACCACUAAUCAACCACCGAUUUCUCAAAUUGAAACCUUAAAAUAGCCCAAUUUACUCGCUAUCGAAGAUCGAAAUCGACAUAUAGACCAAGUGAUUAAUCACGAAUGAUGAAUCACAAAUGAUGAAUCUAAUCCCGAGCCAUUUCUACAGCUUAAAUGAGUGGGAUAGGGGAAAAGAGAGACCUUCGAAGACGACGGAGGAGGUCGAAGCGAGAGGAGAGGAACAUCGCCACAAAUCGCCAUGGUUGCUGCUCACCUGAGCUCUAUAUCACUCGGCUCGUUUCAUCGUCGUCUUCUUCAACCUUUUGAAGCAUCGUGUUUUGUAUGUUGUCGCAAUGUCGCGCGCAAAACGAGUCGGACACUCGGACACGAGCAGCGGAGCUCGAGCUCGAGCUCGUGCCCGAGUUACGCUCGUGUACAAAUGACUCGAGUUCGAGUUCACGUGGCCGACCAAAAUUGGCACAUACGCACUAUCAUUUGACCCACAAAUAGACCCACCUCACCCAUCUCCACCACGUCACGCUUCUUCUCCUGGGCCCCGCGUAAACGUGUGGCUCACGACCAUCCUCGUCGUCUCCUUCGUUCCCAAAGCCCAGAGGGUAGAGAGGGAGCGGGCGAGAGAGAGAGAGGGAGAGAUGGGAAACCCUGAAAGGGCGAAGAAGAGAAAGAGGAGGGAGAGGGAGAAAGGUCAAGGUAUCCGAAUCGCUAAUCACAGAGCUCCGAUCUCUCUCUAAUGGCGAGGGCGAGGGCUCGGCUCCUCCUUAAGCGCUUAAUGGCGCCGCCGCCGCCUCGGAACACUCUCGCUCCGCCGCCUCAAUCCCCUCUCCGCUCUCUUCACCGAAAAGGCGGAGGCCCCCUCUCGCCCCUUUUGAGGUACCUCUCCACGAUUCCCGCGAUUAACGAUCCCUAUGAUCCCGGUUUCGUCGCGGGGGGGCGGAGAGAGCAACGCCAUGGGAACGUGUAUGAGUCUCAGGAGGAUGAAGAGGACGAAGAGGAGGCGGUUAGAUACAUCCCUGUUAAGGCCUACUUCCUCUCUACUAGGUAUUACCAUAGUAUUUUUCCUCCUCGGUUCUAGUACCGCAUUUGGGUUCCAUUUAAAUUAGGGCUUUUCUGAUGAAAUUUGUGAUAUUUUUCUUGUAUUUAUUGUUCAGGCAAUGCGCGUUUGGAGUAUAGUUGUUCAAAGAAACCCUAGCAUCUUUUUCCUCUAAAUCCUCUUAGAAUUUAGUUGUAGUAGUAGCUCUAACUUGAAGGCUCUGGUUUGGGAGAUUAGAAACUCAUUUCUGCUUCCUACUACAGGCAAAAGCUCUAGAAUUUUUGCUUCCCAAAAGCUUGGCAUCUACUUCUUGAGUAGCAACUUGUUCUGAAGCCGAUCCUAAUACGCAUUAGUGGGAAUUACUUGUUGCAUGGCUAUAUUAGUUCCACUUAAGUAAUAAAUUUCACUUAUAUGCAUGCAUGUAUUGUCUACAAUUCUGUAGAUGCCCUUUUGUGCUCUUUUAUUUUUCUCUAUAGCUUGUUGCUUAUACGUAAGUUGAUUAGUUUGAGAUUGAUUGUUUUUGGCAGUAUUGAUCUGAAGAGCAUGCAGGCUGAAAAUAUGUGUGAUGUGAUCCCUCCUACUUCUCGCUCAUCAAACUAUAUUGCCCUUCGUUACUCUGAUUUCCCGCUGGUAAUUACAGUAAAUAGUUUGAUUUUAAUGUACUCAUCUUUCAUCUAAAGCAAUGGUUUUGUCUAGAGAGCUCUGUUACUGAUGAUAAUACUCUUCAUGUUUUUGCUUUUUCAUAAGAUUAACUUAAGAAGUCAGAUUUAGCCUGCAAAGUUGUCUUAUUUUUAAAAAACUCAACCUGUUAUUCACAAUUAAUUUUUUCUGGGUUGCAGGAUAUAGGGGUCAAAGACAACGGAGAUUGUUGCCGCUAUGUUGUUGUAUUCCAGUAUGGGUCAGCUGUCCUUUUUAACAUUGCAGAUCAUGAAGCUGAGCAGUAUCUCGACAUAGUUAGGAAGCAUGCUUCUGGGUUGCUUCCAGAAAUGAGAAAGGAUGGUAAAACUUCAUUUAGCAUUUGUUGAUUCAUCUUCCUUGAAUGUCUUAAUAAGGAUACUGUAUGUAUUAAUUCGCACUUCACGCCUGGACUUAGUGUUCCUAUUGCCCUUAUAUUCGGCUGAAUUUGUUGAGCCCGACGUGUAUGCUACUACUUUUCGACCACUGCUACUAGAAUCUCAGGUAGCUUCUAUGGAAAUGUAUGUGGAACUUGGAAGGACUUUAGAUGGCUUGCCUGUUUAAUAAGAUCGGGAGAUUUAGUGUUUGUCAAGUUAACAGAUUGACAAGAUGAUAUAUUCAGUAAUGAAUGUCCAGCUUAUGAUUUUGUUGUUUGUAUAAAAUGCGUCGACUAUUCUAUAGUUACCUUACUACCUAUCUUAAAACUUGCAGUUGUACCAUCAGUGAUAUCGUUCUGUUGGAAAUGUCAUUCACAGCAAACAAACCUCUCUAUAUCUCCCCUCUCUUCUCUAAGUAAGCCUUUCACUCAUCCAUCUUGCAUGAACAGACUAUGCUGUAGUCGAGAAGCCGUCAUUAUCGACAUGGAUGCAAGGGGGCCUUGACUAUAUAGUUCUGAAAAGUCUAGAUACUGACGGGAUACGGAUCAUUGGGAGUGUCCUCGGCCAAAGUAUUGCUCUUGAUCAUUACAUACGUCAGGUAAUCUUAUCUAUACAUCCUCAAAACUUCAGCAGUUAUUUGCUAGGAAUUCAGGGCUAUAUGUAGAUUCUAGUGAGUUGCCUUCUUCUCUUCAUAGGUUGAUGAUAUGGUAGAAGAAUUCACAGACAUAAAUCGCAUCAUGGAGAAAACAGGAACCUUCAACAUGAAAAGAAAGAAGCUGUUUCAACUUGUGGGGAAGGCAAAUUCAAAUCUUGCUGAUGUGAUAAUAAGACUAGGCCUUUUUGACAGGUAUAUAUGACGCAUUAUCAAUGGACUUUGUAUACACUUCAGCUUUGUAAGGAAAUGAGAUCUUUAACUAUAAUUAUCAGAAAAAAGAAAAAGGAUCAUAAAGGAUUCUACACCAUCCCAAUGGAGGGAAAGAUAUUUUGUAAUUUGGAUUUGUCUUUACCGUCUAUGAUAUAUUACGGUCUAUGAUAUAUUAAAUAACUGUCAUUUGUCUUAUGCUUUUUAAUAGGUCUGAAAUUGCUUGGAAGAAUGCAAAUUAUGCUCAGAUUUUGGAGUAUCUUAGGGAAGAGUAUGAACUAAAUCAACGUUUCGGCAGCCUAGACUUCAAACUGAAAUUUGUGGAGGUAAUUCUCUGAUGAAUCAAUCCAUUCGGUCUGACAGCUUGAAGUGAUUGCUUUCUAAGCCGUGCUUUGCUUUUGACUUAAUCUGCUGUUUAGUCUAAUUCCUUGUUUUUUCUAUUAACAGCAUAACAUCCAUUUCCUACAAGAAGUCCUUCAAAAUCGACGAUCUGAUCUGCUGGAGUGGGGAGUCAUUAUAUUGCUGAGCAUUGAGAAUGUCAUCUCAAUGUACGAAAUUGUCAAAGAUUCAAACAUAAUCCCUUCCUGAGUAUUCCUUUUUUCAGAUUCUUUGUCCUUUUCUUUGUGGCACCAAUUGUGUCAUUCUUCUAACCGUGAAACUUCAUAGCUACUGAUUACCAUGGUGAUUUCUCUCUCAAGCCUCAGUAUUAUCUUGGUCGAUAAGUUACCAUCUCUUUCUUCUUAUUAUACUAACUUACAUAUCCAGCAAAUCCUUGAUUAGUGUUUGGUCCCUUUACUUCGGCAGUUCAAAUCUACCAAUUCUUGAUACCUCCUAGACGCAUCUCACAUUCGCCCUGAUACUAUUUGCUUCCUCUCUACCUUCCAGUAUUUAUUUCUUCUGGAAUAUUGUGGACAAGUUAAAGGGACCAAAAGGAAAAGCUUUCGACACACCGGAUAUACAGUUGUUUCCACCCCAUACAAAUUUUGAAAAAAAGACAGUUUUGAAGCACUAGGAAUAUUGCCCUUUGAUACAAUAUCAUUACAUUGUGUAGAUUGGCAUUGUCUCAUAAAUCUUUUGAAAUUGUAUGAUAUUUUGGGUUUCUUUACUCGGAUUGGCUCCUGCCUCGGAACAUAUAUAUUUCUUCUUCUUUUUUUUUAUGUUAAGGCUUGCUAUUUGGUGAUUUGUUGGAGCCCAAAGAAUAUGUAAGAACUCAUGUUGAGACACGGAUUAGAUUGUAAUUUCUGGCAAAUUCGGUCAAUUUAGCAAUCUUAUUUUUUUGCCUGGUGAAUUUUGUGUCUCAUUUCUUUUAUUUAUUCCCUUUUGUUCCUUGAAAUGCAAAACCUUGGUGUUUUUUUGAAAAAAUUAAUUUGAUCUGUAGUGAUGUCAAUCCAGAGUGAGCAAUUUGCAGUAUUUUGUGCGGCGGUAAAAAUUGCUCGUGCAUGAAGUAGAAAGGCACUUUUAUUUCUGUUCAUCACGAUUCGCUAGAAACUCUAGAUAUUAUUUGAGGCUGCAAAUAUUUUGAGUAAAUGAAUGGAAGGAUUUGAAAUUCAAUACAAUAAUUGCAGGUAUGGAUGCAUUGCCCGAUUUGUUUGGUCAACGCUGAAUUUAUUUAAAAUAUGGGAAUGGAGUGCAAUCAAGUUUUGCAAAGUGAUACAUACAUUGUGUAUGGGAAUGGAGAGCAUGCGGGUGAAACUGCGCUUGCGCUUGGUAGUCCCAGCCUUAGACAGCAAAUGGAGUAAAGUUUCUAGUUUCAUCAUCUGCAUGUAUAAUCCUCAUUAAGGAUGCUCACUUUUUUGAGAAAAAAAAAAAAAAAGAAAGAAAGAAAGAAAAAAAAGCAAUGUUGGAUUGGAGGAGUGGGUGGGGAUUUGCUUCAUUAUAAAUAAGUCUAUAGCAUUAUCACGAAAUUUGUGGGAAUGUUGUGGUUACCUAUUCUAUUUCUUCAAGUGAUGUGGGAUCAGAUUUCUGAACCAAAUUUCCCUUUUCAGUCGGGGUUGGCUAGGCUCCUACUUUUGCUUUUGGAAUUUUCUAUUUUGGUGUGCUCUUAUUUCUAAUAGUGAAUCGUUAACGUGAGUGGUCGUUGCAGAGUAGGGCGUAUUAGGGACGGAGACACAUGAUUUGCCUUUCAAAAUCAAAUCAAAUAACACAAAUUAACCACGGCCUUUUCCUUAACUAAAAAUCUACACGAGUCCGAAUGCCACGGCCCAAGCCAGGAGGCCAAACCAAAUAGCAUUAUGGCUGAUCCACCCUCCGUCAGAGGUUUUAGCUGGCUCAGGUGCCGGAGACGGCGAUGUUAGCGGCUCUACGACCACUUUGAGCUUCAUCCCCUGGUAGCAGAAGCCUCGGCUACAUAUGAAGUAGUACGUCUUCGUUUCGUUAAGCUCGAACACAUAGUUGUGACCCUUGCUCCAGUUCGCUAUUGGAUCAUCCCCGGAGCAUGUAUCGUAGGCCGUCGAAUUCACCUCCACCACAUCAUACAUUCCCUUUUGAUAUAUAAAAUCUACAGAAAGAAAGAAAGAAGAAGAAGAAGAAGAAGAAGAAUAAACGAUUAUAAUUUUAGCCAAAUUAAUUCAUUAAAGGUUCGUUCAACCCUACGUACUACAGAAGAUAUAAUGCUAUUAGUUAGCGAAUAAUUAAUUUAGUUAGCGAAAGCUGUAGAUUUGCUUAUUUGCCAAACGCUCUAUAAACCGUGAUUGCAGCUGAAAUUAUAAGCUGAUCAGGCGAGACUAAUUAAACGUGCACCGAAGUAAAACAACAGAAGAAAGAUCAAGGAUAAAGAAAAUGAAUGACCUAGCCAGUCGCCAACGUGAAAAUGAUACUUCUCGCUCCAAGCAGUAUAGUCGACGCCAGCGGCCCACAUUUGAUCGCCGCCGACUCUAUACUUCUCCGCGGAAGUUGGAAACAUCUUCAGCGGGACGACGAGAAUCAAAGUAAACAAAAGAGACGCAUAUUUCGAGCUCACUACUCUUCUUUCCUUGUCCAUUGCAAUGGUGAUUGUUAAAAAUAAAAAAAUAAAAUAAAAUGAAAUGUACUAGCUAGCUAGGAUAUGCGUGUUUGUAUAUUUAUAACUCGCAUGUAGAGCACGAUUCAUGCAAAAAAAAAAUAAAUUGCGUAACAAAUCGGGACAGGAUUUGUCUGGUCCAGGUCGGGUCGGUGACGCAUGCAUUCAGUUCAGGUCAGAUCUGAUUACAAAUAUAUCUACGAUCGUAGCGGUCUCGUCUGUGAUUAAUUAGUUCAUGUGAUUAGGCCGUUAAUUAGAGCCGACACAUGCGGGGAGUGUUGUACGGGACAAAUUAAACUAACAAGUCCCUAACUCCGAUCAGAAGGAAUUUAUUCUCGUAAAUUACAUUUUUUAAGAAGCUUUCUCGUAAACGACCAGGGAUUGCUUUGGACGGUGGUAUAAGGAAUUCAACGACAAUAAUUAAUUACGAGAAAAAAAGUUAUUAAUUGAGGUUUUAAUUAGAAGAGGCUUUUUUCACUUUUCUAUACUUAUAGGGUGUUACAUUUAAAUAAAAAAAUAAAAAAUAAAAAAAAUAAAAAAAAAACCAAACCCUUAUGGCGCGUUACAUACAAUAAGCACUAACCUCGAAUUGCUCUUUAGGUGCGCCGGCGAAAGGGCCGUAUAAGUGGGCCGGAAUGGCUUAGAGCCCAUUAGGCCAAAUUUCCAUUGGAUGGGCUUGAAUUGCUCAACGAACAGGACCAUGUACGUGGGAAUGGACUUUUUUACCACGUAUCCAUUGGUCCAGGUUUGUGCUGGACAGUGGUGCGUUGGUAACUAAUUUUGCUCGCAUUAAAAAAAGGGAAAAAAAAAAAAAAAAAGAAGGGAAGAAGCCGUUUGACUCAAGGUAAUGCAAAAUAUCUUAACCCAAGGGUGCUGCUUCCUUACAAACUCGGGCACUGAAUAGAUUUAAGUCAAUUGAAAUCCUAUCCAAGAUUAUAGAAGUCAUAGAUCCCGUAUCAAGUAUAAAAGUACAGAAAUAUUGUUUUCAAAUGGUUUUAAGUUUACAGAAUAGAAGAUUGAUUCCAAGUUCAAAUUCCCUUCGAUACUUGUAACUUGAGAGAGAUUUAGUCAAAAGCCAUUCCAGUUUCCUUUAAUAAAUGGCUUUUGUGCCUCGAAGUUUGCGGUUUUUAUUAGCAGAAAAGGGGUGGGGCCGAAAUCGCUUUUAAUUUGUCCAAAACCAGCAAGCACUGCGCCUAAAUUAAGGACAGCAGACAGCAGGGGUACCAAAGCUGCAACUGGGCUCGGCAGUCGGCAGUCGGCACAGCCUGGACAUCGCUGGUUCAUUGGGUGGCGCACAUGGCAGGUCGGCCACGUGUCAGGUCCUCAUUGGUAGGCCUCAUGUGCUGUGUCCCUUCCUCUUUUCUUUUUUAAAUUUUCUUUUUUAAUUUUUUUCACUCAUUCCUGUUUUUGGCUCUAAUGCAUGCCAUUUCUGGACGAAUAAUACACUUUUAUACUCUCAAUACUAACAAACCCGAUAACCAACACAAAAUAGGGAGAAAAAAAAAUUAUAAUCAAACAACUAUGGUUGAUCUGAUACUGUUCCUGUAAAGAAUGAAACUAGAUAAACGAUGUGUGCGACACAUGGCUCGUCCGCUGAUCUUAAAUCUUUCAUACGCAAAAGAGAUUUUGUUACGAGAUGCAUAAAGAAAAGAGUAAAUAUCACCACCCAUUGUAUGUAGGGGUGUAAACGAGCCGAGCACAAGCGAACUGGGGUCGGCUCGUGUUCGGCUCGUUUAUUAACAGACCGAACACGAGCUGCCAAUAACACAAUAAAUUAAAAAGAAUUAGAUUAAAUAAUAUAUAUAUAUAUAAUAAAUUUAAUAAAUUUUAUUCAUUAGAUUUUAAUGUAAUAGUUGAAACUUUACAUAUAAAUGAGUCUUUUUAUAAUUAAGCUCGCAUUUAUAUUUUAUUUUGCUAAAAUUAAAUAAUAAAAAUAUAUAUUACAUAUAAUUAUUUAUUUAUAUAUAAAUAUAAAUUAAAUAAAUUAUAUAAAUAUAAAAUAUAUGUAUUCGAGCUGAUUAUCGAGCCGAACACGAAGCGAGCUGACUCAAGCUCGUCUUCGGCUCGUUUAUUAAACGAACUGAAAAUUCAACUCGUGUUCGGCUCGUUUACUAAACGAGCGAGCCGAUCUCGAGCUCAUUUCGAGCCGAACAUGAGUGGCUCGCAAACAGCGAGCUGGAUUGCUAUCCCUAAUUGUAUGUAUAUCACUCUCUAAAUAAGUGUAGUUUUUUUUUUUUUUUUUUUUUUUUUUUUUGUUUUUCUAAGGAGAAAAUCCGGAAGGAUUUAUUAUUGCCAUAUCUCGUGCAACUAAGCCUUGCAUCCAGCAACCCACGUGAUCCACCGAAUUCGCACAGUUUCGGGAACCCACACGCAACGCUCUCUCCUACGCGGAGCCAUCGCUCUUAAUUAUUAAUUUAUUAUUAUUUAUUAUUAUUACCUACCCCAUCACGAAUCCAAUGAGCCCUGACCCACACCAAUUUAUUUAUUUAUUUAUUAUUAUUUUUUUUUAAGAUAGGUAGCACGUUAUCCGCUUCGUUUAUUUCAUUUAAAAAUAAACUUAGCUGAAAAUAUAAAUCAACUAGAAUUCAAACUUGGGCCUUAGGUACCAACUACUAAGCUCUUUGCGACUUGCUUUAAGGACGGUCGGUCAUUUUUUUUUUUUAUCCUUCGUAUUCACUGAAAACGGUGACAUACCACGAUUACAUAAUGCGCACACUUGUGGGUCGUGGACCCACACAAAUUUUACAGUUGAUUAAAGAAAUUUAAAAUGCAUUCCUUAUGAAUUCAUCCAUAUAUUAUUAUAAUUAUUAAUUAAAACAUAUUUUUUUAUAAUUAACUGAUUAUAAAUAAUAUGAUUAACUGAUAAAUAGUAAAAUUACUAUUUAUUCAGAUGCAGCCAGCCACACUGAUGAAAAAGAAAGCCUGAGGAGACAAUUCUGCGCAAGAAAAACAAAGCCAGCUGUCGCCCCUCUCAAGUAAAAUUCGAAUCUCAAACCACAACCAAAAAAGAAAAGAAAAAAAAAAAAGAAUAAUCUUCACAUUUGCUUGCUUGCUUGCUUUUGUGAUGCACGACACUAAAAUCUCAUCACCGCGCACUCUCACAACCACGCGCGCGCACACUCGAACGCAUCCAGCUAAUCAAAUUUAAUAAGAAAGAAGAAGAAAACCCCCCCAAAAAAAAAAGGAAACUAAAGAGAAAAAGAGAACAUAAAAGGAAGAAAAAAAAAUGACUACGACUAAACUUUAAUUAAUGGCGGUGGUGGCGGUGGUGGUGGUGGUGGCCAUUCGAUUCGAUUCGAUCCGAUCGAGAUCACAGCAGCAGGAGGUCGAGAAAGGUAGCGGCGGCGGCGGCGGAGGUGACGAGGAAGAAGAAGACGCAACGGAGGCGGAGGAGGAGGAGGGGAGAAGAUGGCGCUUGGGAUUUGGAGUGGGAGGGGGGAGGGGAGGGAGGGGAGAGGGGCUGGGCGAGGACGGAGAGCUUCAUCCCGCCGUAGCAGUAGCCGUAGCUGCAGAUGAAGUAGUAGCGCUUGGUCUGGUUGAGCUCGAAGGCGUAGCUCCGCCCCUUGCUGUAGUUGGAGAUGGGGUUCGACGCGUCGCACUUGUUGUACGCCAUCGCGUCCACCUGGACCACGUCCGCCAUGCCCGACUGGUAGUAGAACACUGCCCAUCCAUCCAUCCAUCCAUCCAUCGAUCAAGCGCAUGCACCAAAUCAAUCAUCAACAUUACAAUCAAUAAGAGUAGGAGGUUCUGAGUUCGAGUCACGCCAGGCUCCUAGCAUAUUAAUUUCCUUCCAUUUAAUUCAAGCCCACGUCAUGGGCCGAUUAAAAAAAUUUCGAGCCCAGACGCGAGGAGAAGUGUUAAAUAUAAAAAUGUUUAAACACCGUUCUCUAAUAACUUAAACUUUUAGAGUACAACGGUUGUUUCACACAAACCAAAAAUUAAUUAAUUAAUCUUCACGACGACGACAAAUUAAGGAGCAGGUAGACGAUCGACGAGAGAGAGAGAGAGAGAGUAUACCGAGCCAAUCGCCGACGUGAAAGGGACGGUGCUUCUCCUCCCAGAUGGUGUAGUUGACACCCGGGUUCCACCCCUUGGAGUCGCCCACCGUGAACCUAUCGCCGGAGACGACAAAAGGGAAUAAUAAGAAACCCAACAAGAAGAGAACAACAGGGGAGAUCGGCGACGCCAUUCGCCUCCCCACUCCCACCAUUUUUGUGAUCGAUCUCCGUUGAGUCAAGGUAUUUAGUUUUAGGAACGUAGUAGUAGUAGCGAGAGUGGAUGGGGUAAAAGAUGGGAAUAGAAGCAGCACAUGGAGGAGGGGGGGGAAUGAAUGAGGAUAUUUUUAUUAGAGAUAAUUGCCUAUAAAUCCAUCAAAAUUUUAAAAGUAUUUAAUUUAUAUUUUUUACUUUAUUUUUUAAUAUUAUUUAAAAGUACUUUCGUACAGUUAUUUUCUGUUAGGUUAUUUCGAAAUUGAAUAUGAGUUAAAUUUUUAAUCUUUCUCUUAAAUAAAAAAAAAUUACGAAUGAUAUAAAGUUAUAUUUGAAAAGAUUAAAAAUUAAAAUAUAUUUUUUGUUGGUAACUUAAGAAUAAAUAAAAAGAUAUUUUAAAAAAUAAAAUAAUAAUUUUACAGAGCUAACAAACCAACAAAAUUUAACUUUAAAAAUAUAUUUAAAAUAAUUUAAAAUAAAAAAAUAUUUUUAAUAUUAGUAGGAGUAAAUUAAAAAGUCAAAAAAAUUUUAAAAAUUUAUAAGCAAAAGCUCUUUUUAUUAUUAUUUUAUAUAAUAUGCAGCAAGGCCGAGAACAAACAUAUAUGUAGGGGCACAUGGGAAGAUGCCGCUGUAUAGCAACCGUACACCGUAUCGCUUUAUUUAUCACGAGAAAGUAAUCAAGUAUGUGUUGAAUACGCACUUGGGCCUGGUCCAUAGACCAAUCCGAGCUCCAAGCCCAUUAUACUCCCUCACUCUCACUCUCUUUCACUUUGUUAGAUUUGGUUCACACAUAUGCUACUAUCUUUUUUUUUUUUUUUUUUUUUUUUUUCUGGGAAAUAUCUGCAAGGCACAAAUGACAUAGGUCUUUUCUGCAUAAGCAAUUUAUGCUGCUUUUCGAAGGUAUCCGUUAAUUAAGCUGAUGGAUGCUUCGUUCAGAAUCAAUUCGGAGUCUGGUACUGAGAUCAAGAUGUUUCUCGCUGCAUCUGUCAGAAAUUAAAGAGCAGGGGAGGGACUGUCCUCGUCUUAGUCGUCUAUAAUAAAUCUAUUUCAUUAGAACAAAGAACAAUAUUUCCAAAAUAAGUACGAUGUUCGUUUGUUGGGAUCAUUAAAUCUUUUGGUGUUCCAAAAUAAGCAGUGCGUGGUGAGGAUCUUAACUUUGUUCCUUGUUAUUAUAACUUUAUAAUAAUAAUAUAUAAUUUAUACGAAGUUUUGACCGCUUAUCACGGCGUAAAGCGAGAGAACGCGCCGAGAGUAACGCACGCAAUUGGCCUGCUUCUUCCUACUGAAUAAAAUAAAUAAAUUGUGAAAAUAAAAACAAAAACGAAAAGGUCACUUGCCGACAAAAUCAGGGUGGGGCGCGCGGGAGGAGCCAAGCAGUAAUCAGUAACGUUGGCCGCGUGGGUCCCACAGAUGAGUUGGCGUGGUGACUCACUCACGUGGCUCGUACCUAUUCCCACCCAAAAAAAUAAAAAAAUUAAUUUUUUUUUAAAAUUUAGAAUUUAUCAGUUUUAUUAUCAACUUCGUAUUCCGAUUUCCUAAUCAAUAGAAUUGUCUUUCAUAAAUUCAUUCGUCCCAUCGUUAUUAAUAAAAAAAAUUAUUAUACUUUUUUUUAAAAAAAUAUAUGAUUAAUUUGUUACUGAUGACGUAAUGCAGGUGUGACAAUAUAAACUUUCUCCCGCAACCACACUGCAAACCGCAUGGAAGGAGGUGACAGGUGCUAUUUGGUACCAUUAAAAAGUUCAGAAUUUUAUCUUUUAAAACUACUUUGAAAUGUGCCAACAAAGAUUAAUCCGUUUAUCUAUCUAUUAAUCCAUGAUUACAUGCCUUACUGAAUGAACAAGCUCAACCAAAAUAAACCACCAGGGAGAUCACCGGCAUGUUUGUUAACAUGACGGCAAGUUCCAUCUGUACAGUAAAACUCGAUUUAGUGCAUGAAAAGUGCGAAGUCGCGAGAUCACAUCGUAUGUGAACUCGCCGUCCCGUGAGGCUGUCUCAUGCAGACUACAGGUCUGGGCUCCACGAAAGUCGGAGUUUGACGUUACCUCCAAAUAAUCUUGAGUUAUGCAAACUCACGAAUGACUUGCCGGACUUCAGUGUAAACGAAACCCAAGCCCAUAUCCUAUUUGUCAUAUUUGAUCCAAUGCUGACCGGGCCCAAUUGACACAUUGAGCCCAUGACCAGGAGGUUGCUGGGCUCAUUGUAUUCAACAGCCAAAAAAGGCCCAUCGCCAACUCAAAAUUAGGUCUGGGCCUAACUAGGCCUACUACAAUCUCAGCCCAUACCGGCCUUCCACUAUGAAUUUAAAUAAGCAGGUUUCAGCAAAAUUUUAAGUGCCUGUCGGCACGGGCCGUAUUCACCAUGCUAAUAAGAUACUGACACGAUACAGACUCUAUACCGAUGGCACAGCUCAAAACCCUCUAUUCUUUAAAUUAGUAAGUAAUUUCCUCAAUAAAGUUCAAAAAAUAUGAUAAAAAGAUAUAAUAAAUAGUUAUAAUAUUUUGUUGCUAAAGUAAAUAAAUAUUUCAUGCUAUUAUGCGUUGGCACACAAUAAUUUUUUUGACCGGCACGUAUCGGCACGGCUCGGCACGCACCAUGCAGGCAAAUUUCCGGCACGACCCCAUACCACGACACUUAAAUCUUUGGCUUUCAGGAUAAGAUUUCUUCGCAUUACAUUAUUUCAGCAAGGCAAAGAUUCGUAAACCCAAAUUUACAUUAUUAUGAUUGGAAAACAAAACACUUGAUGAUAACUACCUGAUUACAUAUCGGAACACUUAAUACAAGUGAAACGAGACGCGAAAUCAAGAAGCAGAAGCAAGAUCACAUCAGAAUUUGCUUCGACUCUUAAAUGCGAGAGAUAUAACAAACUACAUUCGUAUAAACAUUAAACAAAACAGAAGGGUAUAUAUCAUGUUGUAGUUCAAAAAACGAAAUGGCUUUUCUUCUGUUAUACGCGCUUUUCAGGCCAGAAUUUUGUAACUUAAUCCAACCUCCGCAGCAGGUAUUGGACCUCCCAGGCCAGCAUAUAAUAUAGCUUUAGUCCAACCUCCUAAGCAGGUAUUGGACUUGAACUUCCUUGGUGAGCGGCAUGAUCCAGUCAUCAUAGAGCUCAGCAACUAAUGUUGGCUUGAUCUUGUACACUGGUGGGUUUCCGUUUCCGUCGCCACCAAUAGUCACCUCUUGUCCAAAGAUUUUGGCCUUUGUUUCUACCCUGCGUGUGAUUGCUCUCUCCACAGACUCGUAUGUUAGCAAGCGCAUUAGCUGAUCACCAUCCUGAAAAAUAUGCACAAUAUAAGAGUUUAGGGGGAAAGAAAAAACCGGAACAAUUACAACGCCAAUUAAGGCAAACAAAACACUUACCUGUGCUCUAAUUGCAGGUUCGUAGGAAUCAGGAGAUUCUUGAAACUUCGCCUCCGCCACAAAUUUACCAUAGUGGAUUCUUUUCGAGAGAGCCUGCACGGUGAAAAUCAAGUGAAUAACAAGACUAAGAAAUAUUAGAUGAAUAGAUUUAAGCAUACAGGCCAAAUUAGUUCGACAAAUUGCAGACUAAAUUUGCAAGAAUCUAGAAAUGAAAACUUUCUUCUUCCAUAUAAAUUUUGGAUUAAUACCUGCAAACAGAUUGUGUCACAAACGGCACUUGAUCCACAAUUACCAUCAUUUCCUUCUCUUACUAAUCUUGGGAGAAGGUUACCGAAAUACAUUUUCCAUAUCAUCCUGUUUAUGUUGAUGGAAUCAGCAAUGGGAUGCAGAACCUUCACAUACCAACAAAGGAAAAGCUACUUCAGAAUAAUGAGAACUUCUCAUAAAUCAACAAGAAUGAUAAUGGUCAAGCAAAAAGACAAAAAAAAUAAUAAAAAAAAAGAAGUGCAAUUUGCCAUAGGAUAGAUUAGUUGGAACUUGGCCAUAGCAAGCCAAAAUUCUAGCGGAGUCUUAUUUAUUGUUUUUUUUUUUCCCUUAAGGUCAAAAAUAGUAGGCUUCAGUGAUGUAAGGCCAAAGUAAGACAAAAUUGUUAGCCGAUUUUCAAAGAGGCAGUAUGAAUUGGAGGUGUCAAAAUACAAUUAUAAGGGGAAGGAAAGGGUGAAAAGAAAAGAAAAGAAAAAAAAACGCACAAAAGCAAAAUGCGAGCUAACAAAUUUCUGAGGAAAGAUGCCAUGGGAAGCUUCCAAAGAUGAUUAAUUAUAACAUUUUCACAUGGAAACUGGGGUCAAAGUGUUGUCCUCAUAUUCUUCCGUAUAUAAUGGUUAUUCAGGUUUUGACUUCAAAUUCACGACAUCAAUGCAAUUAACUAGCGACGACGUCAUGCAAUGACGUAAAUGUGCAAUUCAUAGAUUUGACUAUCAACUUUCCUCUGAUUCUGGAAAGCAGGUGUUCAGCAAAAGCUUCUGGCUGGAGAGAGAAGCCUAAAUCGGCUUCUGGAAAACCAGAAGUACAAGCUGCAGUUUGAAUUUUCUGCGUCUAGAUUCAACAGGAAGCCAAAAGCUAUUACGGCUUCUUCCAACACAGGUACUCAAACAGCACUUCAAAAGCUACAGCCAUGUAAAAAUGGUCCUCAUCUAUGCCUUGCUGGCAAAGAAUGCUACAUUACUUGUGGAACUGCACUAAAACCAUGCAGAGGCGAAAGCUGUACUUAUCGGCUUCCAAACACAGUGGUCUUUUGGCAAAAAAAAAGAAAAGAGAAAAAAGAAAAAAGCAUUUCUACAUAUUUUUUGUUUGACAAAAAUAUAAGACCAAAUAAUAUUUUGUUGUUUUAAACUUUUUGAGCCUGCCUUUUGGAAUUGUAGUAUUCAAAGAAUUUAGACUAGCCAUUAACUCUUUUCAUAAUGAAAUUGAAACCUUGCAAAACAAGCUGACCAAAAUACAACUUGUAAUGAAACAAAAAUUCAUGAUUAAAUUCAUAAACCCAUAUGAAGGACUAAAACUGCUAGUAAACUGAGUUCUGUUUGUUGACAGCAAAAGGAGAAGUCAAAUUCCCUGGUGCUUCCAUCCCAUAACACCAAAAAACCAAGAAAAUUGUAAAAAGCAUAUCUUAGCACCUUCAAAAUGUGAUACUUUUAUCCAUUUACCUUUGGAUACUGCAUAGGUGGCAGCAUGGGCUCAGGCAAAUCUUCUGGAAAGAAAGGAUGCUCAUCCGGGCUCUUGUAUCUCCCGACCUUCAAAAGAAAGCGAGCAAUAGGUUAAAAAACAUAAAGCAUAGAAUCCACAAGCUGUCAUUUUAAAAAAAAAAAAAAAAAACAAUUCUUAUGCUCUCUUUCAUCUCCACUCACCUGUGCAUGUAGCUUUUCAGUCUCUCUAACCAUGAAUUCAACUAGAGAGCCUUCAAAUCCAUCCAUGUCGAAAGCAUUGCUAUCGUAAGUGUCGGCAUUAUAACAAUAUUGGGCCCUCUCCAAAAGGCUGAAUAUUAUGCUAUCUUCUUGACGAAUUAACGAGUGUCUGAUGCUGUCAAGAGUCAAGAUCUCACUUUGAUCGAUUCGCUUUUUCUCCAGCCUAUUGAUGGAAAAAGAAAAUACGCCCUCAGAAGAUAGCAACAUCAAAAAUUAAUGCAUAUAAUGCAAAAAAAAAUAAAAAAAAAUCCUUAUAACAAGAAAAAGGGCGAUAAUUGCAAUCAUAGCUAACUGGCCAUGGACAUUAUUAGCUUCAAAUGGACGAGGAUCUAAACAAACAGGAAUUGUCUUCAAUAGUAAUCAGUUUAUCGAGAGGCUAAAAUUGCCAAUAGUUUCACUUCACCGCUGUUCUUAUUAUGUCCAAGAACACAUGGAAUUAGCUAAUAGCAUGAACAAAAGUAAAACAUCUUACGUUCACGACAGUAAUGGAAUUCUACUAAAGUCAAUGUUCUGUGACUUUGCAACAAUCUCAAUGAAUUCGGUAUCUGAAUACUCCCGUUGACAGCGUAGACAGGAAUGAGGCUUUCUUUUUCUUUGGUUGCAGAAGCAAAUAAAUAAGUAUAACAAAGAAUACCUAAAAAUCAAAAUUUGAAGAUUCCUUGGAAACAAAAAGGUGUUCCUCUCUUUUGGUAUUAGAGCAAAACAAGAGCAAAACAAGAGUAAGAGAUCCGCAACACAUAACUUACAAAGUUCACAGAUACGCAGAAACAUUCACACCCACCCAUAAAUUUGAACAAUAGAUGAAUUACUCACAAAUUCGAGCCAUGGACUUUUUUUUUUUUUCCUUUUUCCCAAUAAUUUGUUGUUUCUACUAACUAGAUCAUCAAGACCUAACUUCUACUACAAUAGUUGACUUCUUACGUCAACCAAGGAAAAAAAAAAAAAAAGUUUCAUCAACUACUACAGCUCUUUAUUCUUUUCUAAAUCAAUU